CUGUCGAACUGCCGAGGAGACCCCUGAAGUCACAUCUGGAGAUGAGGAUACCGUAACCGCAGAUCGUUGCAGACAUGGUUGCUGCCGCUGGUACCAUGGACAUUGCCAAAGAUGCUGUCCACCUGAAGAUCGUUGCAGACAUGGUUGCUGCCACUGGUACCAUGGACAUUGCCAAAGAUGCUGUCCACCUGCUGAGGAGACCCCUGAACAUCGUUGCAGACAUGGUUGCUGCCGCUGGUACCAUGGACAUUGCCAAAGAUGCUGUCCACCUGCUGAGGAGACUUGCAGACAUGGUUGCUGCCACUGGUACCAUGGACAUUGCCAAAGAUGCUGUCGAACUGCUGAGGAGACCCCUGAAGCUACAUCCGGAGAUGAGGUCAAAAAUUAAUCCUAAAUAAAUAAGGCCGUGACACAGGAUCCGUGACACCUAUAUUAUUACCUUAAUAUGUUAUGUUGUGUUUGCUUUUAAUGGUUGAUUUCCUAUAUGUGUAAAAGACUUGUGCGGCUUCUCUUUGAAUUGAUGUAGAAUCAACGGGGGAAGCAUGUAAUGAGUACUCAGUUCGAGUGCUCUUCUUAUGUUGUUGUCAUGUUGAAUAAAUAAAUCUACUUGAUCAUCUACUACAAUUGAUGAUCUUCUUAUGUUUUUUUUCACUUUAUCUUCCUUCAAGAUUUUUGGUGGAAAUGCUUCAUUUAUACGAAUUUUCCUAGUUAGUAAAUGCUUCUAUUACACUUGUACAAUACACAUUUAAAAGUAUAACACAACAAAAGCUUGUGUAGUUCAUAUAUUUAAAAAAUAUUCAUACUUUUCAACUAAACUAUAAAAAUACGUAAUAAAUUCUUGAUACAUUAUACUUUACGAACUAUACUUUAAAUUUUAAAAAUAUUUAAUAGUAUCACUUAUCAAUAACUCCACAUGUUAAUUUGUCUUCCAAUUCAGUAAAUUAUAGUAGCUAAUUCUCAAAGCUAACCGACACCAAAAUUCCCUCACUUGUUGGAUUUAUAUUAAUUACAUUGCAUUUAUUUCCUAAGCAUGAGUUUUGUAACCCCUCAUAUUAAAUCUCAAUGAUUGAUUUUAACGGUUACCAAGGCGUCUAGUAAUUGGUUUGCUAUUAAUUUGAACUAGACAUUUAUUAGGUCUAGUAGAAUUUAUUCCGUCUUAUCACUUAGUUCAUAAACCUUACGAAUCGUUAAAACCAGCUCUAACAUUACCUAACAAGACUUCUACAAUUUCGGGUUUUGCUUAGAAAUCAGUCUGAUAGGUUAACUUGCUUCGUCCAACUUUAUGAGUUGCUUCUCUUUUUUUUCCCAUAUUUGACAUUUCAUCUUACUUUAAUAUGGGGACCAAGUUAGUAUUGUUGACAUUUCAUAUCUAAGACUUCUUAGUUAAUUGAUUUGUUAUAAGAACUAUAACGUAUGCGUGUUUUGUAAGCUUUCAUUUUUAUUUUUUUUUCAAUUCUUGUGGACCAGCAACGGAUAGUUUCUUCUAGUACCAAGCUUCCUUUGAAGUUCUUUAUUUUUUUUUUUUUGCGUGUCCAAAUGUAAAUUAAAAGAACCAACAACUUUGAACAAGUCUAUAUCUAGUAAAGAUAGAUAUAAAGAGGGAUACUAUAUCACUGCAACAAAAAAGGGAUUUGGCGAGGAGCAAAAGUCCACGCCAAUAGUUUUGACUUCCUCGCCAAUUAAUUUCAGCGAGAAAAAUGCUUCCUCGUCAAGUUUCUUGCUAGAUGCUUGUCGCUAAAAGUUAUUAGCGAGGAUGCUGCUGCUUUUCUCACUAAUGAAACAGAUCAAUAGCAAGGGUUGACCUCCUCGCCAAUCUGAUUCAAAUACUAUGGCGAGAAAAACUUUCCUCACCACUAAAGUUAAAAACUCCCCACAAAAACCAGUAGUUCCUGAUAAGUGACUAAUUUACGUAAUAAUUAUAUGAUAUUUUAUAUUAUUUUUUGUCACUUUAGUUAUAUUAUUGGAAGAAAAUGAAUCAUUUUGGCUAUAAUUGGUAAAAAAUGCUUUUAAGUGAUUAAAUGAGGUUUUUAUCACUUUUUAGUGGGAUUUCGUGCAUUUUGACAGUUUUGACACAUUUUCGUCGUAUUUUGGCUAUAACUUGGGAUACAAUGAUCGGAUUGAGAUGAUUUUUAAACCAAUUUGAAGAUAAGAGAUAGAUCUACAACUUUGGUGCAGACAUUUGAAUCCAGUUUGAAGGUUUUCAAAGUCAAAAAGCUGAAUUACAAUAGCAAAUUUCUACUGGUCAAAGCUGAAACAGGGCAAUGAGCAGUCAAGGGUAUUUCGGUCAUUUCUCAGCCUAAACAGAUCCAAAUGAGGUGAUUCUUGAUGCAUUGGAAAGAUAAGUCAAAGGGCUACAAGUUUCAUGUUUUGGUCAAGAGCUAAAUCAGCUUUUAUCAUCAAGAAAAGUUCAGUGGAAGUUGAUGCAAAAUCGGAGCAAAGCUGGAAAUUGAACCAGAAGUGACCAAAUGGUCACUGUAGCAAUCCGGCCGGAAUUUGGCCGGAUUUGUGGCCAGAUUCCUGGCCGGAUUGUGGUUAGAAAAGGCUGUUAUGUACGCGUAAAACUCAAUUUCACCUCCACCAACUCACAUGUGAUGCUAGACUUGUGAGAAACAUUCCCAACUGUAAAAGAGAGGUGUAAACCUCAAGUCUUGACCAAUCUUUCAUCUAUAUAUAGCCAAAUUCAUUGCAAGAUUGAAGGAUAUAGAGAGACAUAUGGGAGAACUUGGAGAGUGCAGAAAUGUAGCUCUUUCAUCUUCCUAGUGUUAGUUUAGCUUAGUGUAGAGUAGUAUAGAUCAUCCAUUCUUGUAUCUUGGCUAGAUUAGGAUGAAGAUGGAGAUGAAGAUGGAGGAGUUGAAGCUCAAGUGACAUGGGUUAUUUCUUCUCCAACUCUUUAUCUUUUGUAUCAGAUUCUUAAGUUUGGUUAAUAUACAAGUUCUGGAUUUUGUGUUUAUUAUGUGUUUUUAAAGUUUAUACCUUGGGUUUGGUUGAACUUUCUAUGAUUGUUAGUGUUUAUUAUUUGGUUAUUUGAUUGCUAUGAUUUGAGCAAGUUAUUUAGCACUUUGGCUCUUUAAAUCAUGAUUAAUCUGGUACCAUUGAUUGUGAUUAUCUAAGGUGUUGUUUCUGCAAUGAAAAUUGAGAUUUAACACUAGUUCAAGAAGUGCUAAACAUAGGGAGUACACUCACGAAAGUAGAGGUGCACCUAUGUGGUUUUUAGUGAUUCAUUUCGUGUAAUUUCAUUGAAGAAUGAACUUGUAGCUAAUUUCAUAACCAUGAGAAUAAGUAUGGAUUAGUUAUAAGUAUAAUUGAUUCACUACGAAAGUAGGAUUCAAAUACAUAAGGAAAUUACACCAUAACUAGCCUAGAUGUAGUACUCAAUGAUCCAAAUAUAGCACUUGUAUGAGUAGUUAGGGAUACCACAACCUAAGGAGCUUUUAUUUGUUAUUUCAGUAGGUUAAAUUUGUUAUAAUUCAUUGAUAGUCUAAAUAAUAGAGAAGCUUUAGUAAUAUCGGUAAUUGUUCACUCUUCCCUGUGGGAUCUACCCGAUAUAUACCCUAAACUACUAGUUGAUCUGUAUACUUGCAGUGAACGGGUGUAAUUCGGUUUUUUUUUAACUUGUACGUAUGUAAAAUACCCGUCAAGUUUUUGGCGCCGUUGCCGGGGAAGAUUUGGCAAUAUCGGUGUGAAGAGCAACUUUAUUAGUUUAGACAUUUCAUUAGUCAUAGUGUGAAUGUUAUUUUCUGCUAUUUUUGUGUUUUAUGUGUGUAUGUGUUUCAUUACCUAUUUUUCUUACUAAUUUUGCUUUUGAGGUUGUUUAAAAGCAAUUUUAGGUGAUGAGAAGGAUAGGUCAAUUUGGAGGACAAUGCUUGAGAAAUGAAAGUUUGGCAAUGGAUGGUUACCAAGUGCAAAGCUCCUUCAACAGAGGUAAUCAAGAAUUUACUGAAUGUAUGUCUUUUGAAGAUGGUUUAAGGUGCUUAAAGGCUAAAUUUGAUGUUAUGAUGUUACAAGUUCAAAUGGACACAAUUAUGCAUAAAAUUGAGAAAGGGAGGAAUGUUAAUGCUUUUAAUUCUUAUCAUGUGAUUUGUGACUUGUGUGGAGGUUAUCAUGCUUCUAAUACAUGUAGACAAGCACAAAAUGUAGAUUAUUUUGAUGAAUUAGAGCAUUACAAUCCUUGUUUUGAUCAAUAUAGUGCUAAUUGGAGCAAUUCUCCUGCUUGUGGUUGGGAUAAUCAAUGUACAUAAAGUGAUUAUCCAUAUUUUUAUGAUUACCAACCUGAAAGUGUCCAAUAUGAAUCAAAACCAUCUUGGGAGUUGGCAAUAGAGAAGUUAGCUAAUGCACCUCUACCUUGGGAGUUAGAAAGUAAACCAUUAGCUAAUGACUCUAAUGCAUCUUGGGAGCUAGCUGUAGAAAAUUUUUCUAAUUAAUUUGAUUCAACAAUAAAAAAGCUAGCAAACGCAACUUCCGACCGUUUUGAUAGGAUUGAGGAAAGAAUAGAUGAAUUAGCUUCUCACUUUGGUAGAAUAUAUGAGCAAUUGAAUGUAUUGUGUGAAGUUAUUUCCUCUAAUAAUUUGCAAAAUGAUCCUAGCAUGAAUGGUGGGAAUGUUGUAUGUGAAAAUGGGUUGUAUUUUGACGAAAAUUAUGAAUCUCAAGUGUGUUUUAAUGAACAAAUAUCCAUUUCACAUGAUAAUAUCUUUGGAACUAACUUUGAGCCUCAAGAGGUGAGUUUUAAUGACUCAUUUUUCACCCCUCUUGAGGAGUGCAGUGAAAGUAUAGGUUCUAAGGGUAUUGCUGCCCAAGAUACUCUCACGACAUUUCAUUUGGUAAGUUCUCAAGUGGUGCAUAUUCAAGGUAAUAUCUAUGAAACACUUGGGAUAGGUAAGUCACUUCCAUCUCUCACAUUAUUAGAUCAUGUGACUUUUGUUAUAAAGUCACCAUUUAAUGAUCCACCACAUCCUAAAAUGGUGGAUUAUUCUUUAACUAAACCUCCUUGAAAAAUGAGGUGAAAUAGUCAAGCUAAUGACUGUAAAGAAGCACUCGUUGGGAGGCAACCCAGCGAUUUCUUGAUUUUAGUAAGUUUUAGUUGUUUAACUAGUGUUUUUGUGUGUUUUGUAGGUGGUAAUGACAAGGGUUCAUGCAAAUGAUCUCAAUGAAAAAAGUGUCAAUAUUGAGGCAAAAAGGAAGUUUUCAUGUUCAAUUGAUGCAUUUCAUGCAUUUAAAGUGUUUCAUGUUAAAGUUACAUUCAUGCAUGAUCAUGUAUUUUCAAGUGUAUUUGGUUUAGAAAGACACAUUUUCAAUGUUAAACUUGGAUUUUAUUCAAAGAACAUGAAAGUAGGUGGAAUGCGGAAGAUUGGCCAAGCAAAUUUGGAGGAAAAACUACAGAAAACAGCUUUUUCUGUAGCAAAUCCGGCCAUAAAUCCGGCCAAAUAUUGGCCGGAUUGAAGGCCAGAUAGUCAGGGGAGAAAGAAAAAUUUUUUCGGACUCACUGGCUAGAAUCCGGCAGUAAAUCCGGCCGGAUUGUAAAAAAAAAAAAACUUACUGUAGCAAUCCGGCCAAGAAUUCGGCCGGAAAUCCGGCCAUAAACUGGCCGGAUAUGCAACAGGAAAAAAAAAAUUCUGCCCAGAAUCCUUCCAGCAAUCCAUCCACGAAUCUCUCCAAUUUUUGGCCGGAUUGUGAACAGUAACCAGCGUAAGAUGAAUCCGUUUCACGGAUUCCUCACAAUUUUUCUCCCUUCUUCUUCAACCCAACUCAUACACUAACACCUCAAACACAUACCACUCACUAAAACACCACUUUUCACCAUUUAAUCUUCAAAUAACCUUCACCAAAUCACUUUCUCCCAUCCUCUAGAGUGAAUUUCAUAGUUCAUAUAUUUUCAAAAACAACUCUAAAGUGGUUUCAAGCUUACCAUUAGUUAGUUCUACCUUCUUGAAAUCACUCAAUCGAGGUCAAAUUGGAGUAAGUUUCUUGGGGGUUUUCACAUCAUAUUCAUCUCUAAACAUCACCAAACCACCUUGAGGCAACAAAUCUUCACCUAACUUUGUUAUUUGAAUUUUGCCAUGAUUAAAUAUUUUCUAUUUUUAGGCAAUUUUUAAUAUGUGAAGUUAGGUGCAUUUAUUUGAGUUUAUUGAUGCUAUUGGUGAUUGUUAGUGAUAAAUAUAUGUUGUGAUUUGCAUUUAUUGUAUUUAUUUGGUGAAUUCUUGCUAGUUUAUGCUUAAUUUGGCUUGGUGACGAAGUUGCAUAUUAAGUGGCCAAUGUAGCAUUUUAAUUAGUUUAGUGGGAGUUUUUGAUAUUCAUGUGAGUAAUUUAGAUUACCUAAUGAAUGAAAAGAUGCUUGGUUGAAUGAUUUCUUAAAUUCUUGGGUAAUUCUUAAAGAAAAGGUGAAUUGAAGAUGGCCUUAAUUUAUGAAAUUCAUAAAUGCACUUAUAAUCUUUGUGGUUCAAUGGUUUUUAGUAUUUCAUGAAUUCUCACGAAGGUCAUCUAUGAUUUGUUUUGGUGUGUUUGCCUUCAUUUUGAGAUUACUUUUGUACUUGAGGGGACUUGAUCAUUGAUGACAAAAUGUAUGAAUAGAACUUAUUUUGUUCAUGAUUGUGCAUUUAUUGUGUGAAAUUAGCUUCCCUUUGCUUUGGAUAAUAAUGCAUAUAUUUCAUUAGCAAAGAUUAGCUCAUUUCAUGUUUUUAUCCCAUGAACAUUGUAUGGUUCCACAUGCUCGAUCAUUUUUCCUUUUUCCUUGACUUGCAUGUUUUCUUCUAGUUGAUUGCAACCGUUUAUUUUUAAGAAAUUUAUUUGUUUUGAUUUUGUCUUUUUCAGGGUGCAAUAAGUGAACUCUCCAUUCUUUCUCAAAUACGGUUGGAAAUUUAUCACAUUGCUAUGGAUUUGGAUCGCGCAAGUCAUAAGGGGAGUAUUUUCUUUUACUCUUUAUUUAUUUUCCUUUCCUCACAUUGAGGACAAUGUGAAAUUUAAGUGUGGGGGGUGGGGGGAAAUACUGGACUUGCAUUUUAAUGCUAUGUGAUGAUAUUUUGUGAAUCUAAAUGCUUAGAAAUGUUGGAAUUGUGUUUGAAUUACUUGCCAUAUGGAUAAUUUGCUUAAAAUUGGGUUUGUUGGCAGGGAGUUUUCAUCCAUUUAUAGGUGGAAACUCUGUCAAAAUUUUUUAAAAAUCUUUUCCAAUAUUUCACUAUGGCCCAAAAGUUCUUCAAAUUUUUGCAUUUUCAUUCAAAAAGGGUUAAUUUGUUCCAACCUUAAGAGAUUAAUUCUUCCAAUUGUUGAAACUUUAUGUGUAUUUUGGAAAGUUUAGUUCUCAUUUAACUAGGAAAUAGUUAUUAUGCAAUUAGAAUUUUUACAUUUUAGAAAGUAUAUUUGGUAAAGUGAAGAAAAUUAUGCCUAUAAUUUUACAUGUUUAAUGAGAUUUCUUCUCUUUACUUAAUUUUACAACUAAGUGAUUGAUAUAGUCAAUAAAGGUUAUACUCCUCCUUUGAUUAUUUUUCUAUCAUUUUCUAUGAGGGAAAAUCUAUUUAUUUUCUUAUAAAAAAAAGAGAGAAAAAAAAUAUAUAUAUAUAAUAAAAAGAAAAAAAGGAAAGAAAAGAAAGUAAAUAAAAUUUAUUCUACUCCAAUGAUUCUCGUACCGAGUAACUGGGGAUUGGCAUCUAAAAAUGUCGAUUUUCACGUAAAAAGGUAUUUGAAUUAAGAGUAUGCAUAGCAACUUGAAUAGGUGAAAUGUUGAGUAACCGGGGAUCUUCACCUAAAAGUAUCGAUUUUCGCGUAAAAAGGCAUUCUCACUAUUUAAGUAAAAAUUAGUAUGAAUAAAUCCCUCUUAGUUAUAGAAUUUUGAGAAAAAGAUGAUUAUAGGAGGAUGAAGGAUAUAAAUUGACUAUGUGAUUUGCUUAUUUGUAAAAUUAAGUUAGGGUAAGAGAUUAAAUUUAACUUGUUGAAUUUAGGGUAUAAUUAUCUUUCCUUUACUUGAUAUUAUGAGUAUUUAGUGUAAUUUGAACAAUGAUAUAAUGAUUAUUUUCCAAGUCUUGAGGAAUUAAAUUGGACAAAGUGCAUAUCUUGUUUCACCUCUUGAAUCAUUGUAGUUGAUUAUGUGUGGAUUGCUUGAGCACAAGCAAUGAUUUAAGUGCAGGAGAGUUUGAUAAGUGACUAAUUUACGUAAUAAUUGUAUGAUAUUUUAUAUUAUUUUUAGUCACUUUAGUUAUAUUAUUGGAAGAAAAUAAAUCGUUUUGGCUAUAAUUGGUGAAAAAUGCUUUUAAGUGAUUAAAUGAGAUUUUUAUCACUUUUUAGUGGGAUUUUGUGCAUUUUGACACAUUUUUGUAUUUUGGUUAUAACUAGGGUUACAAUGAUCAGAUUGCGAUGAUUUUUAAACCAAUUUGAAGAUAAGAGAUAGAUUUACAACUUUGGUGAAGACAUCUAAAUCCAGUUUGAAGGUUUUCAAAGUCAAAAAUCUGAAUUACAAUAGCAAAUUUCUACUGGUCGAAGCUGAAACAGGGCAAUGAGCAGUCAAGGGUAUUUUGGUCAUUUCUCAGUCUAAACAGAUCCAAAUGAGGUGAUUCUUGAUGCAUUGGAAAGCUAAGUCAAAGGGAUACAAGUUUCAUGUUUUGGUCAAGAGCUAAAUCAGCUUUUAUCAUCAAGAAAAGUUCAGUGGAAGUUGAUACAAAAUCGGAGCAGAGCUGGAAAUUGAACCAGAAGUGACCAAAUGGUCACUGUACAAUCCGGCCAGAAUUUGGCCGGAUUUGUGGCUGGAUUGUGGUCAGAAAAGGCUGCUAUGUACGCAUAAAACUCAAUUUCAUCUCCACCAACUCACAUGUGAUGCUAGACUUGUGAGAAACAUUCCCAACUGUAAAAAAGAGGUGUAAACCUCAAGUCUUGACCAAUCUUUCAUCUAUAUAUAGCCAAAUUCAUUGCAAAAUUGAAUGAUAUAGAGAGACAUACGGGAGAACUUGGAGAGUGCAGAAAUGUAGCUCUUUCAUCUUCCUAGUGUUAGUUUAGCUUAGUGUAGAAUAGUAUAGAUCAUCCAUUCUUGUAUCUUGGCUAGAUUAGGAUGAAGAUGGAGAUGAAGAUGGAGGAGUUGAAGCUCAAGUGACAAGGGUUAUUUCUUCUCCAAUCUUUAUCCUUUGUAUCAGAUUCUUAAGUUUGUUUAAUAUACAAGUUCUGGAUUUUGUGUUUAUUAUAUAUUUUUAAAGUUUAUACCUUGGGUUUGGUUGAACUUUCUAUGAUUGUUAGUGUUUAUUAUUUGGUUAUUUGAUUGCUAUGAUUUGAGCAAGUUAUUUAGCACUUUGGCUCUAUAAAUCAUGAUUAAUCUGGUACCAUUAAUUGUGAUUAUCUAAGGUGUUGUUUCUGCAAUGAAAAUUGAGAUUUAACACUAGUUCAAGAAGUGCUAAACAUAGGGAGUACACUCACGAAAGUAGAGGUGCACCUAUAUGGUUUUUAGUGAUUCAUUUCAUGUAAUUUCACUGAAGAAAUGAACUUGUAGCUAAUUUCAUAACCAUGAGAAUAGGUUAUUCCCUAAUCGUCCAUAUCCCAUAUUCAAGGGGUUAUUCCCUAAUCUAAUCAAGCAAAUGAACUAACCUAGUUCUAAUGGUUAUAUGAAAUGCAAGUCUAAUGCCAUGUUUCAUACAAAAGGGGCAAAUAAUAUACAUAUAAGGGACAAUAUAGGGGAAGGGGUAUACAUAUAUAAGGAAAGUGUCAUGCGACAUGGUGAAAGAGGCCCUAAAAGUAAAAAUAUGCAUGAGAUGAAGUGAUUUUUCACACAAUCAUGGGCUAGCGUUGGACUAGCCCACAUCUACGCUCUCUCACAAGCAUUGGACUUGCAAGAGCUCGAGGGGACAACCAUGACUAGCAUUGGACUAGCCACGGUUACGUGCAUUUGCAUCCAUCAUACACAUAUAUAAGUAAUUGCAUAAUUAGAGCAAGUAGACAUGUGAGCACGUAAUUCACAUAACACAUAAGCAUGCAUAUCUAGAUGCCAAAACCUAGGAAAGCGAUUAAACACAUAGCACAUAGACAUGCAAAAAACACAUAAGGCAAUUAAGGCCCUAACUAUUACAUUUUUAGGGGGAAGGCCUACUACAAUCUAAAAGGGGGAAUAAGAAGGAAUAAAACAAUUAAAUCCCUAACUAUUACAAUUUUGGCAUUCGAGUGCCUUCCAAAUGAAAAAAUUGAAUUAAAAUUGAAGCAAAAACUACGCAACUAAAGAAAUAAAUAAAUAAAGUGAAAAUGAAAUAAACACUUAAAGUCAUGCAAUUGCACAUAUAAGACACAUAUACGCACGUAUGGUCAAAUAAAGUCAAAAAUAAAGGAUAGAGUGUACCUCCCUCGCAAUGGUAAGCAAAUGAAGGGAAAGUAGCUUCAAAACAAUAAAAGGGUCAAGGUACCACUUUAAUUGAGAAAAAUUAAAAGAAAUGCGCAAAUACAAAGCUCACUUGAUCAUAAAGCCCCUAAAGUCAUGACUUAAGUGCAAUUGAAACAAAGCAUAGUAGUCAAUUGAAGCAAACAAGCAAUGAAGUUGUUAAAUUAAAACUACCAAGGACCAAAUUGAGGAGAUUAUUCAAUUGAUUGGGUCAUAGUAGCAUUAGUUAGAAACAAGGGGUUAGAAUGCAAUUCUUGGGACAUUUCAUGCAAGUUUUCAUGCAACCUACGAAGACAAGAAGCUUCUGCAACUACUUUCUAUUAAGCUUCAAUCAACAAAAAAUGAAAACUGCUGCACUUUGCUUUCAAAUUAACUCAGAUUUUCCGAUUCAAAUACACAACUUUGAUUAGAUAUUUUUCAAUCACAACUUUAGAUUAAGCAACAAACUACAUAGCCGCCACAAUCCAAACAACAAAAACUUAGAAAAACAUCAUGCGAGAUUCUGGACAAAACAUUCAUACAAAUGACUCAAGCGCGUCCCCACUCAUUCAAACACAAACAGCAGAAACGAAAAAAAAAGGAUUCUAAAAUUCAGUCUGAUUUCCUUUCCUCUCUGCCACUACCAAUUCCUGCGGAUUCUGGCCAGCCUUAAGCUGGCCAGAUUUCCUCUUAAAUGCAUACAGAGAAAGGACAAAAUUUCCUCUUUUUGGUUCAGAAUCUCCAUUCAGGCAUUUCAUCAAACACUAUAUGGGCAUAAAGGAAUUCAGUAAUUCUCUGCUCGAAUGAUGUAAUUUAGCAUCCAAAAUUAUCAGAAAUCAAUGGACUUCGGUCCAAUUGACACAGAAAAACAUGUACAACCCAAAACCAUGAGCAACUAAUAAGAAAAUUGCAACAAACAAAAAUUCGGCAGACAUGCUCUAAAAGCUUGGGGAGGAACUGAAAUUCAAAGGAAAAGGGUCAACUUACAGAGCUCUUGCUUGAGCGGCGGCGAUUUGCUGAUGGCGGUGGAGGAUCCCGACGAGAUGGUAGCUGCGAAAAAUUCUGGAGCUGCCAACAAGAUGCAAUUCCUCCGCUCAGUUUUUCUGCUUGCCCGAAAUUCCUUUUCUUCUUGCUCGGUUUUUGCAACCCCCUUUUCUUGCUUUGUUUCUGUUUGCAGCCGCGGCCCUUUUUUCUGUUUUUUCCUUGGCUUUUCACCAAUUCUUUUCCUCAUUUAGUUCCUCCAGCCUGCAGCCUUUUGCUUUUUCUUGUUUCCCCUUUUCCUCCCCUGCCGAAACCUCCCCUAUUUUUCUUUUUGUUGCUCUGUUCUUUUUUCCAGUUCUCUUCUUCAACCGAGAGCCUCCCUCUCUGUUUUCUGUUUUCCCCCAAAAGAUCUCCGCCGCCACUUUCUUUCUCUUCCCUUGUUUUUCUAUUCUUUCGUUUAUUUCUUCCCGAAAAAACUUCCCCCAAUCUUUCAGAUUUUCCCUUGGCUCUUGCCCAAGACUCCCUCUCUGUUUUUCCAGUUUUUUUCUUCGGCCUGUCACUCUCUCCUUUUUGCCCAGAUUUUUCCUUGUUCAACCUCUUCUUGCCUUGUCCGCCGCCCCCUCAUUUUUACUCUGUUUUUUUUUUCCUUUUGUCGCAGCCUCCUCCCCUGCUCUUCUGUUUUUCUUUCCUUUUUCUUGACCGAAGCUCCCUCCAACCUAGCCGCCGUCAUUCUCUUUUUUUGUUCGCCUCCCCCCUUCCUUUUGACUCUCCCUAGCCGUCCCUCUUUUCUAAUUUCCUCACUCAACUAGCCGUCCACCAGAUUCUACUCCACACUCUCUCUCAAAACCUAGCCCUUUUCCUUUCAGCCGUCACUCAGUCCCCUGCCGUGAGCUUUUUCUUUUUCCUCUCCAAAGCUGCGUCUUUCUUUCCUCCCUAAACCCUAGCCACUCUCUGCUCCCUUCUAUUCUCUCAAACUCCCAGCCUGUUUCUGAACCUCCCAGCCGUCAACCUUUUUUUCUCCCCUCUGCCUUGCGGCUUCAUCUUAUGCCUUUUUAUAAGGAGCUAAAUCCCCAAACCCUCACACCUAAGGUUAGGAUGAUAGUGAGAUUUAUCCAAGAUUUUGGAGCCCUUGGAUGAUAGAUUUGAGCCGCUGUCCUUCCUCUGUUCGUUUCAUGCCUCUGCUUAAUAUGAAGAGAGAGCUCGGAUCUUGUGUGGCUCACGCAAGUUUGAGCUUGCCUUUUUCUUUUCUUAAUUAAUUAAUUAAAGCUGUAAAAGUCAAAUAAAAAUGAGAAUAAAACAAAUGAAAAUGCCCUAAAAAUUUAAUUUUUCUUGAUGAUUUUUUUUCUUUUUUUUCCUAUUAAUAAACAGUAAAACAUAUUUUUUAAGAAUAAUUUUCUCUUUUGACAAAUUUUACACUAAAAGUCUUAACAAAAAUAAACAGCUAAAAGGGAAAGAACGAAUACAAAAUAAAAAUAAAAACUAAAAUAAAAUAAUAGAUAAUAAUAAUAAUCUAAAAUGCUAUACAAAGGCUAAAAGUGUAAAACCAAAAUCAUGAAAUUAACAAAUAAAAAUAGAUAAGAAUUAUUACUAAAACAAAGAAUAAAAAUGGAAUGAAAAUUAUUCAAAAAUUUGGUGUCUACAGUUUGCCCCUCUUUGUCUGAGUUUUGAAAAAACUUGAGACAAAGAAGUAGACACCAAAUACUCACCUGUUAUUCGGCUGCGAACAACUCGAAUGAUUGACGCUUUCUGAAAUGGGGACUGACCCCUUUAACAAAAUUUUAAAAAGAAUGGGACUGACCCAAACAAAAUUUUAAAAUCAUGGGACUGACCCGAAUAGAAUUUAAAAUGGAAUGCACACUAGUGGGACUGACCCAUGUUUAGUGGCAACGAAAAUGAAAUGCACACUGGUGGGACUAACCCACGUUCAGUGGCAGUGUAAAUGAAAUGCACGCUAGUGGGACUGACCCAUGUUUAACGGCAACGAAAAUGAAAUGCGCGCUAGUGGGACUGACCCAUGUUUAGCGGCAAAGAAAACAAAAUGCACACUAGUGGGACUAACCCGUGUUUAGUGGCAAUGAAACAUGAAAUGCACGCUAGUGGGACUGACCCAUGUUUAGCGGCAAAGAAAAUAAAAUGCACACUAGUGGGACUAAUCCAUGUUUAGUGGCAAUGAAACAUGAAAUGCACGCUAGUGGGACUGACCCAUGUUUAGCGGCAAUGCAAAUGAAGUGCACACUAGUGGGACUGACCCACGGCUAGUGGCGAUGGAAAUAAAAUGCUCACCAGUGGGACUGACCCACGGCAAGUGGCGAUGCAAAAUAAAAUGCUGGUAUGUAUGAAGAAACUAUAUAAGAUUUACUUGAAGAAUCAUCCAAAAAUUUGCCCAAGUGAUGAAAUGGUCAGUGGGAUUAAACCCGAGCCUGCCUUGGUUGGUGGUACAAAAUCCAAGCCCAACGUGAACUUUGUGAUGUUGGCGGCACCAAGUCCAGGCCCAACGUGAUGUUUGUGAUGUUGGUGGCACGAAAACCAAGCCCAACGUGAUGUUGGUGAAGUUGGCGGCACAAAAUCCAAGCCCAACGUAAUAAAGUGAAGUUGGUGGCACAAAAUUCAAGCCCAACGUGAUAUUUGUGAUGUUGGCGGCACAAAAUCCAGGCCCAACGUGAUGUUUGUGAUGUUGGCGGCACAAAAUCCAGGCCCAACGUGAACUUUACGAUGUUGGCGGCACCAAUCCAGGCCCAACGUGAACUUUGUGAUGUUGGCGCACCAAGUCCAGGCCCAACGUGAUGUUUGUGAUGUUGGUGGCACGAAAAUCAAGCCCAAUGUGAUGUUUGUGAAGUUGCGGCACAAAAUCCAGGUCCAACGUGAUAAAGUGAUGUUGGCGCACAAAAUCCAGGCCAACGUGAUAUUUGUAAUGUUGGCGGCCCACAAAAAUCCAGGCCCAACGUGAUGUUUGUGAAGUUGGCGGCACAAAAUCCAGGCCCAACGUGAUGUUUGUGAGUGAAGUUGGUGGCACAAAAUUCAAACCAACGUGAUAUUUGUGAAAUUGGCGGCACAAAAUUCAGGCCCAACGUGAUGUUUGUGAAGUUGGCGGCACAAAAUUCAGGCCCAACGUGAUGUUUGUGAUGUUGGCGGCACAAAAUCCAGGCCCAACGUGAACUUUGCGAUGUUGGCGGCACCAAGUCCAGGCCCAACGUGAACUUUGUGAUGUUGGCGGCACCAAGUCCAGGCCCGACGUGAUGUUUGUGAUGUUGGUGGCACGAAAACCAAGCCCAACGUGAUGUUUGUGAAGUUGGCAGCACAAAAUCCAGCUCCAACGUGAUAAAGUGAUGUUGGCGGCACAAAAUCCAGGCCCAACGUGAUAUUUGUAAUGUUGGCGGCACAAAAUUCAGAUCCAACGUGAACUUUGUGAGGUUGGCGGCACAAAAUUCAGGCCCAACGAUUGUUAUAUCAUUCAUGAGUAGCUAAAUUUCUUUAUCUAGAGAGUAGAUGAAACUUAUGGCUAAAUGAUAUGAAUUGAAUGUGAUUUACACUUGUUAUAUCUUGUAUUAACUUGUCUAUUUGUGCAAUUGUAAUUACUUGUUGUUGUUUGAUCACCAAUAGCAUGUUUAUAGUUGUUAUUAGUCAAUGAGAAUUGAUAGUAACAAUGGAAAAAACAUGAGUAGAGCUUGAGUUGUAUGUUCAUGAAAAUAGAUGUACACUUAAGUGGAUUAGCUAGCAUUUCAUGAAGGAAAACAGAGUAGAACUAGUAGUUCACCAUGAAAAUAGGGAAAAUUGGAUUGCUCUAGGCCAUUUUAUCAUGAGAAUGAGAUUUGGUAAAUUGAAAUGAAUCCCUGGUUAAACAACAAUAAUAACAAGAGGUAAAUCUAUUCAUUUGUGUUGUUUAUGCCAUAAGUGGAAUCUACAUCCCUAGAUUUAUUCUUGAGUGAAAUUUAUCCAUUUGCAUUUAGCAUUUGUUAAACUAGAUUUAUAAACAAUAGCAUUAUAAUUUCUCUGCUCAAAUUCAUUUAUAAGUCUAAAUAAUAGAGAAAAUAAGGGUCUAGUACUUGUUUAAAUUGCUCCUCGUGGGAUCGACUCGAUACAUACCUUACAUUACGGUUUCGGCCUGUAUACUUGCAGUCAACGGGUAUAAAAUCGGAUUUAAACUUGCAUUGAUAUAAAAAUCCCGUCACAUAUGUGAGAUCGAAUUAUUUUACUUAUUUCUUUUAUUCAUUGGUAUUUGUACAUUUUCUGAUUUAACUUCAUAUACUUGUUAUGUUAUUUGAAUGUCAAGGGCCCGAUAUUCGAAUUAACCUAAUAAUCUACUGUCAGAUUAAUUGAUUGAAUCUGUAAUUGUUCAAUUGAUUAAUACUAGUGGCAACUAGCGUGAUUGGUUUUAUGUUAGGGAAACGUAUAAUCUAAUUUAAACGAACCCUCGUAGCGUGUUUGUUAAUUAGGGUUGGGCUUUUCUAAUUCUUAUUGCAAUUGAGAAAUUAAAUCCUAUAGUCGUACCUAGGGUUAUUUUUUGGUUAGGAAAAUAGUUAAUGGUCGUACCUUAACUAUCGAAAAAGUAAGGAAAGGUUGGUUGUUUAUCGCGUGUAUAACAACUAUAACCAAUCUAUUAAUUAGUAAUUGAAAUUAUCUUUGCAUCGAUGAUCAGUUGAAUGGACCGUGUCUGAAAAGUUGCACCUUUGGCUAGAGUUGUAUUGGUUAUUGAUUAAUUCCUGUUUAUUUCUAUUAGUUGUUUCAUUAGUUGAUUAAUUAGUUAUUUUAUAUUUUCCAAAAACCCCCAUACUUCGGACUCUGGAAGAAAUGAAUUAUCCCCAGUCCUGUGGAUUCGACCCUGCUCACCGCUAUAUACAAAUUUGUAUUUUUCUUGAGUAGGUAAUUAUUAUUGCACAUGUUCAACACCUGUCAUUCUAUAACUGUAUACAGAGUCAUCUUUUUCAAAGAUUUCCCAUGCUGCAAAAUGUACUCUACGAGCUUUAUUUCAUCUUCCUCCCCUAUAAAUUGUCUGAUUCCAAUCUGCCUAAGAUGUUCAACAAAGCGUAUUGGGAAAACUAUUUGGAAAUGUAGAUUCCAGGUCCUUGUAUAUGCAAAGUCCUUCUUACACAACUUUACAUAUUGAGAAGAUCAAAAAUUGCAAAACAUAAUAAUACUUGAAAUUAGUGAGAAUAUAUCCAAAAGAAACAAAAUAUUAAUACCUGAAAUCAGGUUUUACAAUCUGUGCACAAAAAGCACCUAAACCCAAAUGGCCCAUGUUGGAAUAGACCAAGUUUAGUUCAACUGCAGAAAUUCCUAGUACAAUGGAACUGCAACUUCAAAUUCAGUAAAUUGCAAACUGAUAUUAUGAUUCUAUAAAUCCUAAAAUCUCACCCAAGUCCUCUUGCCUCCAACACAAAGUAUGUACACAGAUGCUGACCUAUUCUAUACACUUGUAGGUAAAUUCAAAUCAGACGGCAUUCAAUAGAACUGCCUUGAUUGGCUCCAUAUCAGCACUACUGCUCUUUAAAUCUAAAUUGAUUAAGCUGCACAAAAAGGGAAGAUUACAUUAGAUGGAGAAAUUUUACUGAUUGCAUAUGAAAUAGGGGCUAAAAUCAACUAGGAAAAGCAGAGAAGUUAACCUCAAUGACCAGGAAACAAGAUGCAAAAGUCAGAAGUUGUGCUUAAACCUCAACCAAAAGAAAAAUGCAAUCUUUGAUAUUAAACACAUAACCCACAUAAGUUAGCUUCACAGAGUCCAGAAGGAUGGUUGGAACUCAAUUUUCCUAAAAUUGUGAGGAAAAUAAUGCAAUCUUAGAAAUCUAACACAAAUAAUGGUAAUAAAACACAAGAAGGGUAUAAAAACUUACAAAAUGGCGCCAAAAUAUAGAUCUAACAGUAUUUGAAGCAAAUGGAUGAAGCAUUGAAGUUGUUCUAAGAUUUUUGGACAGCAAUAAAACCUAAGCUCCUUCACGUUUAGCAAUUCUUAGGAGAUAGACAGGAGGCGGGUCUUCUUUUUUAGCAAUUCCUUAGAGGUCUCCUUCCCGUUUAGCAAUUCCCGCAUAUGUUCUUCUAUUUUUGGACUAAAAACCACCGAUGUUGGCCUUUGAGAGAAGAACAGAUGCGUGCUUCUCAAUUGACAGAGACAAGAGAGGACCAACCUUUCUAUGUAUAUAUCCCUCAGCCUCUAACAAGCCUUUGAAUUUUGACGGAAGGAUGUUGCGGGAAAAAUAAAAUUCUUGGAGGGAAUAAAACGCGCGUCCUAAAUUCUGAUUUAAGUGUUGUUGUUAAAAGUUUCUAAGAAUUGGAGUAUAUUAUAUAAUAUAUAGAAUGAAAUUGAGUAUUAGAAGUAUAUAAUUUGAAAGAAAUCAUGUAUGAGAAAAUGAAACUAAUGAAAAUAUUCAUGUGCAAUCAAUAUAAUAAAUUGUCAUCUUUAUAAUUUUUAAGUUUGCAAUUCAUAAAUAUGGUAACAAAUAAUGUAAUUCAUGUGCAAUCAAUAUAAUUAUAUUGUUAAUUAAGGUUAUAAUUGUGCUAUAUAAAGUAUUUGGGACAAUUUGAAAAAUAUCUAGAAAUUUGGGACUACUUAUAAUGUAUUUUGAUUAAACUAUACAACUUGUCCUUUCUUGUUGUAAAUCCAAAUUCAAUUAUGGAACAAUAUACAUGGAAAAUUUGACCUUAUAUGUGUAUAAAUCAUCUUAUUAAUAAAAUAGUUAAACACAAUACAUUUAGUUAACUAUGAUUUAGUGAUUGAUUAUUACAUCAUUUUUUAUAUAAUACGAUAAUUAAAUAUUACAUAUAUAAUAAAAUGUUUCAAAUAUAUUUUAAUUGAUCGAAAAAAUGGUAUACUUACAAUAAACAAAUAAUUAAAGAAAAUUUUGAGAGUAGAAUUUUGUGCUAAAAAUGUGUAUUUUGGGUUCAAAUUUAUAACCACCACUUAUCCACUUAGAAUUAGCAAAAGUAUUAAUUCAUUUCUAAAGACUCUAAACCAUACUAAUUUAUUAUAAUAAAGAUACAAAACACUAGCUCCAUGUGAUAACCUAUAGCAAAAAUCAUCUAUUCACUUUAGUAAAAUAUAUGAGUCAAAUUUAAAGAUUCAUCAAAUUUUCUAGGUUUUAAAAUUGGGGUGCGUUAUUUACAUGGAUUUAAAGCUGUCUGAAUAUAGUUUACUACGCAAUAAACGUCACUCAAUUUCGAGUUUUCUACACAAAGAUAUGACCAAAAUACUAAAAUUGUUACUUAAUUUUUUUAAAAAUAGUAGGAUCGUAUGAUCCGGAUUACGAUCCUAUUGAUCUUGUUAAUUUAAUGCUAAUUUUUUAUCCUACUUACAAUUUGGAUCGUUAGCCAUGAUCCGUAUCGUAGGAUCGUAGAUCGUGAUUCUAGCAACUAUGGUUGUAGUUAAAAGUUUCUAAGAAUUGAGUAUAUUAUAUAAUAUAUAGAAUGAAUAUUGAGUAUUAGAAGUAUAUAAUUUGAAAGAAAUCAUGUAUGUGAAAAAUGCAACUAAUGAAAAUAUUCUCAAUAUACAGCUGAAAAAAUAACUAAGUUUGAUAAAUUUGCAUUUAAUUUUUAGAUAGAAGUUUGUUGUAUGAUAUGUAAUUGCCAUUUCUUGAAAUUAUUCUUCACUCUUAUACCUUCACUAAACUUCAAAGAACUUAGCUACGCAUAAAAUAGAAUGAAAGGAAUGCUUUCAAGUGUGCUAGUAAGUUAAUAUUUAUAUUAUAUCUGUGCUAAUACGUGUCCAUAUGUAUAAUUCAAAAGUUUUAUGUAUUUCAUAUACGAAUGUCUUUUUUCAAGUAACCGCAUAGAACACUUGAUAGGUUGUAUUUUUGCCAUUAAUUUUAUGAUUAUUUCCCUCUUUAUUUUACCAAAUAUUGUAUUAAUUGAUAGAUUCUACUUAUAUUUGGUGCUUUAUGUUAAUUAUAGGACGUUGGGGUAAAAAGUGCUAAAAAAGGGUGAUUUUCUUGGAAUUGAUUGUCACUCGCAAGUUUCUCAAUUCAAGAUGAAGUCUACGUGGAUUAUUUGUGGAAGAUUAGGAAAUUACCAUUUUUCUUAGAUAUUUUAUUUAGAAAACAAUUGGCAUUAUUCUUGGAGUUAUCUUUUUCAAUUGACCCGCUUCCGAAGUUAUUUCCUUCGUUAGAGAUUGUUUAUCCUUGAUUUAAAUUUAAUCUAUUUUAGUUUAAUUAUUUUCAAUUUGCAUUGAUUAUUUAUUUUUAAUUGCAAUUUUCCAAACUCCCCCCAAUUAAUUGUCACUUGGAAAGAAGCAAAUUUUCACUCAAAACCUUGAGUUUAUAUCUUUUUGAGUAGGAAUUUAUUAUUACACAAGUCUGACACCUGUCAAUUAAACAAGGUUUCGAGCAAUGCAUAGUUUCUUUUGUACCUAGAAUAGCUAAUGUAGCAAGUCAUAUGCUAACACAUUUUGCAACAUAACUAGUUUAUGAUAUAGAAUGGGUACAUGAUUUCCCAAUUCGACUAAUAGAAGGGUGAAUGCCCCUUUUUGUAAUUAACUCUUGCACUUCAAGUGUUAACAUAUAUACUGAUAUUAUCAUUUGUUGAAAAAAAAAGGAAAGUGUUUAUUUGUUUAAUAAAAUAGUCAUGGUAGUGUUUAUAUAAUUUCGUAAACAUUGAAAAGUAAAUUACCUCGUUGAAUUUGUAUAAUUUGAUUAUGUUGAAGAAACAUAAUCUUGGAAAAGCAGAGAAAUUUUCUAGUAAAUAUUAGAUAAACAAACAAGUCAUUAUUUUAUUUUGAUAGCUAAUCAUUGUUCAUAUCAAUAUACUAGCUAUAAAGUUAUACUCGCAAUACUACUGUUACGGUAUAAAAUUUCUUGUUAGAGCAAUUUAUAAUUUAUAGAGCAAUUUCUUGUUAGAGCUAUAAAGUUAUACUCGCAAUACUACUGUUACGGUAUAAAAUUUCUUGUUAGAGCAAUUUAUAAUUUCAUCCCAUUUUUACCGUUGACUGUUAACCUCAAGUUCUUUAGAUAUCCAUGGGACAGUGUAACCCCUUUGAAGGUCAAUUCUUACUGUUGAUGUGGCGUGUCCCACAUCGGAGGCUGCAUAAGGAAGUUUUCUUCCUUUCGUCCCACAUCAGCAAUCAAGAAGGAAAGCCUCCCCUUGUUUACCUAUAAAUAAGGGGGUUUAGUGGUGAAGAAAAGUGUACCACAUUCAAGAGAGUUAUAUGGGCUAUUAGCUUUUUGAGUCAUUUAGCCCAUUUGUAGUCAAAUGUUUUAUGCUCUCUUGUUUUUAAUUUAGGAAUAUUUUCUAAACUUUUUAUAAGUGCCUUUUGGCCUAGGAACCACUUUUCUAUGGCUUUUGUAUAUCUUUUUCAUAGUGAAAGAUUUGUUCCUCCUUUGCCCGUGAACGUAGGUUAAUUUGACCGAACCACGUAAAUUUCUGUGUCUUUUAUUUUGUUUUGUUAUUUGUAUUUAUUGGGUUGCCACAACCCUUUUAUAUGGUCAGUUUUACCGCCUAAAAUAUUAUAUGGUCGGUUUUACCGCCUAAACAUUAUAUGGUCGGUUAUACCGCCUACUUUGUGCUAACUUCAGUUUGUUUAUUUCUGGACCAAUCCUAACACUUACACCCUCAUCAAAGUUUCUGGAGUUGCGUAUUAUAGGGGUGCAAACACAAAAACGAGACAUUCUUAAUCAAAUGGUGUUCCUUCUUUUUGCGAUUCAUUCCUCUGCAAACCUCCUCCUCCUCCGAUUUUAAUAUAUGCCACUGUUAAAAUAGGAUACUUUUGUGGGUUUAAUGAUUAGAUCUUUUUUUUUUUUUUUUUUGUCGACACAGGGGUGUCCGGGUCAAUCCUUACGGGGCCCGACUAAUCCCCUGCGGCCCGGGCCCGGCGCCCCAACCCAACUCUAGCACGAUAAGUGCGCGGAGGAAUCCAGCAGAGCAGAGACUCGAACUCGGUUUAAUGAUUAGAUCGAGACGAACUCUUUUGUGCAAAACAUUUGCCCCAGGCAUCGUUACUACAGAGUAUGUGAUCCAAUUACCUAUGUAAGGUCACAAUGUUAGAGAUGUGAAAUUAUAUUGCAAUGGUCCCUAAAAUCCAACUUGAUCUAUAGGAAUACUAAUUAGGUGAAUACGAGGACUCUGAUUCGACUCUCGAUCUUUCCUAUCAAAUUACAGUAAUAUUUUUAAUCAUACACUCAUCCCCUUACUAACUUCCUAUGGGCCCAAUAUGUUGAGUAGAAUUCGAUUGGAACAACCGAAAAAAAAAAAAGAAAAGAAAACAAAUACAAAACAAUGAAAUAGACACUUAGUCAAGUUGGAACCUAUGAGGAAGUGAGGAGCACAAGUGCGAACAGAUCACCAAGGAAAAAGAAACAAGUUUUUCGAGAAUGCAAUUUGAUUUCAAGCUCAAUCAUAUUCUAAGAGUCAAUGAUAAGAUAGAAAAAAUGUAGGUCCAUUGUUAAAAUAUAGACGGAGAUAGUUGCUUAUUGAGCGUUGGAAGUAUUUCAUAUGCUUGUAAUUAUAUCUCAACUUGUAUAAUUUUAAUUUAAUAAGAUUAAAUUAAUGACCAUGUCAAUGAUUUAUGCGUCAUGCAUGACAUUCUUUUUUCUUGUACUCUCCCAAAAGCUGAAAAUUCUCGUCUCAAUCUCCUCCUCCACCGAUGGCUGCAUGUCUGUACAUGUUCCCCCACAACAAGAAUAAUGAAUCAAUUGCCAUAAUUGCACGCAUUUAAAUUUUCUGAGCUGGUGAUAAAUUGCAUAGUUUUGAUUUUUUUCUAUUUCCGGUUCCCACUCUAGCUACUUCUAGAUUUAUUAAUUGGAAAAAAAAAAAGAAGAAGGAAUAAAUUAAACCUUAUUUAAUUACUUUUUUAGUCAGGAUAUCUAUAGUAGAUGUAAUUAUCUCUAUAGAAAUGAAUGAAGCAUCCUACCUUGUGAUCAUUAUCCUCUGUUGCAAUUCUCUUGUUCAAACUUCAAGUUAAGGUUUGUUUGCUAAUUUAAUGGAUUCAGAACUUAAAUUUAAUGGAUUCAGAUCUUAACAUGUUCAAAUGCUUUUGAUAACCAAAACUUGAAUAUUUGAAUUAAUUAAGUGACACUAAAUUUUCUAGACAAAACUUACUCCUAAAAAUAAGUGAUAAACUAUUUACUUAUCACUUAAUGUGAUAUAUACUCAAAUGUAUCAGAUGUAGUACAUAACAAUUUAAUAACUUAAUGAAUUCAGACUUCAGAUUUCAGAUUUCAGUUUUAUCAAACGCACCUUAACUCAGUGCAAACUAAAUAUGAAAUCCAAAGUUGAAAAUCCAAGAGGUUAGAACUUUGAAACCAUAGAGCCUCUAGGCAAAUUCAGCAUUUUUACAUUCUAACUGAUUUAGGGCAUCUUCAAUUAUCAGUUUCAACUCCAUGGUAUAAUAUAGAUAUUACCUCUAAUAGUUGAACACACUUACGCAACAAAUAUAGGGCCUGUUUGGCACCCUAGUUUUUUACCAAGUUUUUUAGCUACUAGUUUUUUAACAACUUUUGCUACAGGAACCCCAAAAAACUUUUCAAAGUUUUUUACCUACACACUUCAAAAAUCUAUACACAAAAAAUUUCUCAAAAACUUUUCUUCCUCCCUCACCCAACCCACCACACCAGACACCGCCUCCACCACCUCUCCCGGCGCCGGUCACUUAAUCCGCGCGCCGCCGGUAACCUCAAAAAAAAAUUUUGAAUUUCUGAGUCCCUCACCCUCAAAAAUUUAUUAUAUAUAUUAUAUAUUUAUAUAUUUAUUUAAACAUAUUAUAAAUAUUUUAUUUUAUUUAAAAUAUAUUUUUAUAUAUUUAUAUAAAUAUUAUAUACCAUAUAAAUUAAUAUUAAUAUAAAUAUGUAAUUAUACAUUUAUAUAAAUAUUAUAUAUUAUAUAUUUAAUAUAUAUUACACAUUUAUGUAUAUUUAUAUACAAUUAUAUUAUGUAUUAUGUAUAAUAUAAUACAUUUAUACAUAAUAUUAACACACAAUAUUAAUUAUACAUUUAUACAUAAUACUAAUACAUUUAUACAUUUAUAUUAAUUAUAUUAAUACAUUAAUACAUAAUAUUAUAUAUUUAUAUAUUUAUAAUAUAUUAAUUUAUAUAUUUAUAUAAUAUUCAUUUAUAAUAAUAUACAAUUAUUACAUUUGUAAAUAUAUUUAUAUUAUGUAUUAUAUAUAAUAUAAUACAUUUAUAUAUUUUUAUAUACCUAUAUAAAUAUAUUUAUUUAUAAAUGUAUUAUAAAUGCAUAAAUAUAUAUAAAUAUUUAAACAAUAAAAAUUAUAAAUUAUAAACAAUAUUAAUUAUACAUUUAUACAUAAUAUUAAUACAUUUAUACAUUUAUACUAAUUAUAUUAAUACAGUUAUACAUAAUCAUCAUAUAUAUUUAUAAAUUAUAAUUUAUACAUUUAUAUAAUAUUCAUUUAUAAUAUAUACAUUUAUAUUAAUUAUACAUUUAUACAUUUAUAAAUAUAUGUAUAUUAUGUAUUAUAUAUAAUAUAAUACAUUUAUAUAUUUUUAUAUAAAUAUAUAAAUAUAUUUAUUUAUAAAUAUUUAUAAAUGUAUUAUAAAUGCAUAAAUGCAUAUAAAUAUUUAAACAAUAAAAAUUAUAAAUUAUAAACAAUAUAAUUAUACAUUAUACAUACAUAUUAAUACAUAAUAUUAAUUAUAUUAAUACAUUUAUACAUUUAUACAUAAUCAUCAUAUACAUUUAUAAAUUAUAAUUUAUACAUUUAUCUAAUAUUCAUUUAUAAUUUAUAAUUUAUAUUAAUUAUACAUUUAUAAAUAUAUGUAUAUUAUGUAUUAUAUAUAAUAUAAUACAUUUAUAUAUUUUUAUACAAAUAUAUUUAUUUCUAAAUAUUUAUAAAUGUAUUAUAAAUGCAUAAAUGUAUAAAAAUUAUAAAUUAUAAAUUAUAAAAUACUCAAAAAUAUGUUUUAAAAAUACCUCUAAAAAUAAUCCAAAAAACGUCUACAGUAACAUUUCAAAAACUUCUACAAAAAAAUUUUUCACCUUACAAAAACUUCUACAAAAUUUUUUCAAAAAUUUCUACAGUGCUCUACAGUAAAGUUUUAGACAAACUCCCAAAAAACUCAGGUUCCAAACAGGCCAUAGAUUGUGAAAUUAAUUGUAUAAGUUUGAUAUUUUGUAGGUUUUGGGAUAUAAUUUUCACGUUUAGGAAAAAGAAAAUAUGUUAGUAAGUAAUAAUGUGAUACCCCUUGUCCCACGUUGGAAGUGGGAGAGGAAAAGGAUUGAUAUAUAUACAAGAUUUGGUCGCAUAAGUUACUAGUUACUUGGGCUAACCAUGUCGGGAAAGUGUAUUUCGAUACAAAAAUUACUUAGGCCAACCAUGGGCUUGGAUGGUGAUAAAUAACUUACUAGAAGCCAGGCAUAUUUAUGUUUAGAUGUCCUAAAAGCAGAGUAGUUCAUAAUCUAGAUAAUGGUAACGAUAUGAUUAGAAUGUGAAGUUAUUUGGUAAACUUUAUAGAUUAAUAAUUUCAUCAAAGCAUCAUAUACAAGCAUGAUGACACAAUCUCAACUUUCAUUCUUUUGUUAAAUCUUAGUUUUUUUCUCUUAAAUUUUUUCGAAUAAAGGAAGGAUGGAAUUUAAGCAGUAGAGGGGUGGAAGGGGAAUUUGAAGUCAAAAUCUCUAAUUUCUAAGUUUUCCCCUAAGCAAUCGUCAAAAUCAAAAAAAAAAUUAAAAGAAAAAAAAUGAGCACCUCAUGGUCAAUGCUCCUGUUCGAAGAUUUAUUCCUUUGGUUUGUCAUCAUCUCCCUCUAUGAAAUCUAAGUACCCUUGGUUGACAAUUUGUUUCCCUGAGCAUCCAUCAACACUUUUAUAUAGUAUUUUUUUUAAUAUAGUAUUAGAUUAGAUUAGAUUAGAUUAUCAAUGUGUUAAUGCGCAAAUUAGGCAGUUUAUUUGUUAAUAUUUUCCCCUUUAUUUUGACCAAAUGUUGUGAUAAUUUGCUAGAUUCUACUUAUAAUUGAAUUUUUGUGUGAUUUCUAGGAACUUCAAGUUAAUUGAGGCAGAAAAGGAGAAAUCGAAGCCUAAUUGAGGAAAUUCCAUUAAGAAAAUCUUGAUACAAGUUUCUUAGUUGAUACUAGAAAGCACGCAUCCCAUUUGAUAGGGAAUGAAGCAGAAAACUACAAAAAAGGAGGGACUUUAUGGAGAAUAUGGAGACUUCUAAGGGCUUCAAACCUUGGGCCCUUGAAUUGUGGGGACCACAAAGCUAGUGAAAGAUAUUUGGUCAUUUGGGCUCUUCAAAGAAAGCAACGUAGAGAGACUUGGAAGAAGAAGUAAUUUUGGAGACUUUGUCCACAUGUGGGGACCACCGGAGAUAGCUUUUAGUCAUCUUACUUUUGGCUUUUUAAAGUGAGGACGUACAGAAGCAAGAGGACACCGCUAGUUUAGCUUUUUAGUUUAGUUCUAGUUUCCUUUCUCUUGACUGGCCUCUGACACACGCCAGGUGUUCGACAAUAUUCCCCAACGGGAAAAACAUAUUUUAUUCCUUGCUUUCUAGUAAAACGCAAUGCCUUUGCAAUCCAUUACUUCGUGUGGUGAUUUAAUCAUGAGGCGUGGCUAAGUUUAUCUAGUCAGAGGUUAAAUCGAAGCUUUGGUUCGACAAAACUGUGAGAUCGAAUUUAUUUGCCUACGUUCUUUAAUUUGCAAGUAUUUAUAUAUUUCCUGUUCACUUAUGCAUAUGAUUAUUUCUUGCAAUUAAAUACUUGAUCACUGUUUAAUUGUGUGAGUAAUUAACAGCCAUCUACGAGUGCUCAAUCCGUAAUUUUGGGUAAUUUUAGUGCAUGUGGCAAGUGACAUGAUUCAAUUGUAGUAGAAACUUUUGAGUUGUUGUUGUGGAAAUAUAUGAUAUAGCCUAAAUAAACCGAGCAUGUGUGUUUGUUGGUUAUAAUUGGUGGCCAGUCUAAUGAUUAAUGCUGUCAAUAGGUUAAAUCCUAAGAGCGUGUUUAGGACUGCUUAAUUGGCUAGGGUAAUAACUACAGAGCUUGUUGUGGUUAUCGAAUCAGGAAGGUUAGGCAGGUUGUCAGAGCUUGUUGACAACCAUAACCAGUUUAUUUGUAAAUGAAAGAUUUUAUCUCUGCAUCUGUGAUCAGUGAUUCGAACCAUUAGUGGAGAUUAUACCUUUGACUAGAGAUUUUCCUUCCGUUAAUUUACUUUAUAUUUAUUGUUAUUUAUUUUAUCUGCGAUUGUCUUAUUUUUAAUUUGAGCAAUUAAAUUAGACAGUUCCAUAUCAAUUCCCCCCAUUUUUAUUUAAUGUUACAUUCAUUCAAAAUAAAUUCCCAAGUCGCUGGAUUCGACCCUGCUCACUGCUAUAUUCGAAUUUUGUCUUUCACGUAAUUAAUAUACUUUGGUAUAUCGGAUCAAGCAAACUCUGGCACCAGGGUGAAGCUAGUAACCCAUUGCACAGCCUAAGUCCCUGCUCCAGUACCAUAGUGGACUUAAUUCGUGACUUAAGAGUAGGAAUUUUAUUUUUGCUGGUUUGACACCCACCACAAUGCACCAUCAAAACACUUUUAUAUAGUAUUAGAUUAGAUUAGAUUAUCAAUGCACCAUCAAUAUCCUUAAAUAUAAAAGCUUAAGUAUAGUAAUCAAAAUACUGUUAGUAAUCUGUACGAUUAUUUUUUAUCCUUUAAUGUUUUAGUUUUAGGAAGAUCACAAAUGCUGCGUAUAAAGCAUGCCAUAGGCUAAAUUAAGCUAAAUUAAGUACAUUGCUAAAAUGGAGAGCAUUGGUAAAUUAAGUACUUUAAGAUAAAGACUUAAGCAGCCAGAUCCAUUUGAUGUCAGCUGCUUCAAUAUCCACCUCAAAAUAAAUUAGCCUUUGUUCUAGAUUUAGCUUAAUGCUAAGUCCCUUAACCAUUCUUAGUAAUAAUUCAACUCUGCCUCAAUUUUCUUCUGAUCUUCAAGGUAAAUGUACGAUAAAUUUCAAAAUAUAUCCCAAAUAUAUGAAUUUCUUGAAACCAUCCUUGAAUCUCAUUACCUACUCAACAAAAUGUUCCAUAAACACAAAGAAUUGACGAGAACAACAGGGCUCCUUAGAUUUAACAAUUUCAAAUAAGCCCAAGCUAGAAUUUUUCAUAUAUUCAAACAAGAAAUUGGAAAAAUCUGACUAAGCAAUACUGAAUUGUAUCGAAAACCUACUUUUUUUUUUUUUUCCUGCAACGAUAGAUUUUUGUAUUGAUUGGCAAAAAAACUUAUAUGAGCAAAGGCUCAAGGAAUUCUAUACAAGAGUGUUAGACACACUGAGGAUUAAUCCAUUCCUCAUCUUGAAAUAUGCCCAAAGCAUAAUCACUAAUCACUUCACAUCUAGAGUCUAAGCUCCUAUCUAAGCAAAAGGAGCAUUUCUGAAAUAAGGACCUGAGGUCGUUAAUAUCGUCUAUCAAAGUAGCCAUUUUGAUGUCCUUAGCCAUCCUUUCCUUUAUCAUCUUCAGUAGUUGGGGGCUGGGGAUGUGGACAACAAUUUCCUUCCAUUGCUGGUGUCUAGCCUUUAUGAUGGCCAUUUUCACAGCUUCUGCAGUAGACUGCAUCUGAUGCACUGUUUUUCUGUCAAUAAGUGCCCAGGCAGCCACCCACUGAUUGUUGAAAGUAGAUGCAAAAAUCCCCAUUCCAACUCUGUUGGUUUGGUCUUGCACCUUAGUUGAUAUUCUGAUCUGAAUUUCAUUCCUUCUUGCCUCCUCCGGAUCAACUUUCUCAUCUGCUCUUACCGCAUCUUCAGUGAAUAUUUUCUGCUUGCUCUGGACAGCUUUUUGUUCUUGCCAUUCCUGUUGAGCCUUUUGGAUUGUUUUCCAAGGGUGCCUGUGUUUGGCAUUGAACUGCCAUUCAUUUCUCCUUUUCCAGAGUUGCCAGAGGAUGUUCACAGUGAGCUCUAUAUGCUCCUUUCCUUCUGUCCUGCAUGUAGCUUCCAGAAGAGCAGUCCACCAAGCUUGAAAAUUCCCUGUCUGUUCCCUUAACCCAUCCCAUUGUAAUGGAGCCAUUUUCCACACCUCUUGUGCUUUGCUGCAUUGGAAAAACAUGUGUUCAAUUGACUCUUCUUGUUCACCACAGCCACCACAGAUUGGAUCACCUUUGUGUGUUCUUUUAAAAACCAGGCUGUUGACUGGUAAUAAACCAUGUAGGCACUUCCAAAGGAAAUGUUUGAUCUUACUCUUAACGUUCAGCCUCCACAUCCACUUCCAUUGCUUUUCAUAGGAACUUGCUAUACUAUUUCCGCCUCAUUCUCUCUUCUUCCUUUGUGUUGAACAGUUCCUCUACACAAUGCCUUGUAACCUGAGUUGACAGUGUAGAUGCCAUUGCCGCUAUGUAUCCAGUAAUUGCUAUCAUCCUUUCCUGAUAUACUAAUAGGAAUCUCCAGAAUUUCCUCUGAGUGAUAAGCAAUACUGAGUGAUGAUAUUUUUAGGGCAGUCCAAUUCACUCAAUACAAAAAUAUUUUUAAAUGAUGAUAUUCACAGGAACGUCUAUCUUACUUAAACAAACAAUAAAAAGGAGAUUGAUUGAGAAAUGGCCACAUUAUCUUAUCAUUCUUAAUUAUCAUUAGUUCAAUUAUCAACUUUAGCAGUCGAGAAAGGCUGCAACUUGUACAGGGACAAUAAAUUCUUUAGGGCCCAAUUCUUUAUUCCUGCGUCCGGAGAAUUGAGACGUGGACGCUUCAUUAGUCAAUAAUAAUAAAGUGUGGAAUUCGACUACUAUUCUUAGCUCGUUCAAGGAAACAGAGAGGAGACGCUCUUGCACAGCUACUUAAACUAUUGGAUAAUUUCAUAGACCUUUCCUGAAGUUUUGGACAAUUUCAGCUAGUACCCCUCUUAUUUUCAAUAUUACGCUGACCACUCUUACUUUAACCAGUGACCAAUUCAGCCCAUAUAUGUAAAAGAAAUGGAAUAAAUUGACAAGAAAUGGUGUCAUCACAUUUUAUUCCAUAUUUUCCCUUGGAGACCCUAAAAGAAAUAUUGUAACAUAGGACAAACUUCACUUUGUCCCUCCGAAGUUGAAUCACUUUUCUAUUCUAUACACUAAACUUCAAUUUUGGAUGCUUUGCAUGUGGUUGGAGGCAAAAGCAUGGCAGAGCCCUUUUUGAGUCUCUGAUCUUUAUUAUCACAUGACCAUUGCUAAUUAUACUAUUGCUUUUGAAUGGAAAUAGCAUAAAAGUCUUAGUGAAUGAACAAAUUGAAUAGACCAUUUCGCAGAGCAGUGAAAUAUUCCAAAGCCGUGAAGCACAGUGAUAAGCUACAAAUUACAGUGGUUUAUAUUUAUUAAUUGUCAAUGAAUGGUUGUAUUUGAGCUAUAUUUUGAAUGGAUGUUGCCUAAUUUAAGUAUAUGUUGGUUUUUGUGGGAAAAGCACGCGAUUGAGGAGGAAAUGAAUCGAAACGCAACAAAAGGGGAAGAAUGCCAAGACACAAGGAUCCGUGGGUGGAUCCUAUGUCCAACGCCAAACAUUGAAAGGGACUUUGCGAGGACUUCUUCUAGUUCUAAUGAUUGGAAAACCCACUCAAACUCGAUUUUUGGUAAGUUUUCAAGACCCAUUCUUACCAUAUUUCGGAUACAACUUUGAGAGACUAUAAGGACAAUCUAGGAUGUUUUUAGAUUGGAAAGCAUUUGGCUAAAGUUAGUUCAUCAUUUUUAUACCUUCUUUUCUUGAGAGAUCACAAUGGAAGUGUUGAAAAAUCAAAGGAGUUCAAGAUGGAGAUUGGAGCGGGGAAAAAUUGAGAAGUUUUCUUACUUUUAACUUCUUAAUUAUUUUGUCUUUCAUUUGAAUUCUUGGAUUUAUCUAUGAAUAUGUUGAACUCAUUUAUAUCCAAAGUUAGGAUUUUGUGAAGGAGAUUUAAUUAUUUGUUUUAGAUAAAUUAUUCGCUUUGCUUAGAUUUAUUUAUCUUGCCUUUAUUACAUGUUUAUGUUUUGCCACUAUAGAUAUGCUUUUAGGAUUUGUAUUGAGUUGAGAAGUGAUAUACAACCGUACAUUAGAUAGAUAAACAUACUUAGUAUAAUCAUGAAAGUGGGUUAAACAUUGUAUGGCAUAAUUAUAUCACCUAAUAUUUUAAAGGAUUUAAUUAAAUACUUAUAAUCUCGAGAGCAACGCGAGAUUUCAUUAGACAAAUUUAGAAAUAUCAACAGAUAAUCUAAAGUACUUUUACGUGAUACAUCUUUGACUUGUUAAGAAAAUAAUUGGAUAAAUAAUUCCAAUUCUGAAUCAAAAUUUAAAACUCUAGUCUUUUGCUAAUUGUUUUCUCACCUAUAUCUUGUUUGAUUUGAUUAUUUAUUUAAUUUCUUAAUUAGUGAUUAAAAAUCUCUGAAUUUAAAUUUUGUUAUUUUUAUUAGAGGAAUUAAAGUAGGAAAAAUUAACUCACUCCUGCAGGUUCGACCCCUGGAGUACUCCAAGGAAUUAUUAUUACGAUCGACCUUGUACAUUAUAGAAAUUCAUCGAUCACACAGCAACUAAAAAAAAUUAAUGCACAAUAAUGUCAUGAGCAGAAACAGUUCCCAUCUUAGUUGUUCAACAUUCACGGUGGAUUUCAAUUAGUGGUCAAUAGAUAAAGGCAUCGAAAAAAGUAAUCUAACUAGAUAAGUGAAUUUAUAUUGUACAACAUAUUUCUUUUUUCUACCGCAAAAACUUAACUAAUUUAAGACAAUGUAGUCCAAGCUAAUUGAAGAUUAAUUUUCCUAAAAAAUGUUCAUGAUAAAAACUCAACAAAGAGAUAAUACAACAGCUUACUUUUGGAGGUGAUCUUAUACGGUCUUUAUUAACAAACUAAUUAGCCACUUAAGCCUUUUUUUUUUUUUUGGGACUACAUGACAAAAUGAGGAGUGAAUCAGUCACUUAGUAUCUAAAAUUUUCCCUCCAUAUAAUUAGUUCAACCUGAUUUAAGACUAAAUUUUUACUAUAGGAAUGUUCGUGAUUCAACAAUGAAACACCAUAGAAACUUAUUUUGGGAGAUUGUCCUAGAAGAUAAAAAAUGAGCAACCAAUCAGAAAGUCGUACUCACAUAUCAAAAUCCAUUCAGUCUAAUUAAUUCACCAGCUAUGUAUAUUUCAUCCAUUUUCACAUUAUAGAAAGAACAAUAAUGCAUGGCAUUAUCCAUCAUAAAUUGCUCAUAUAACAUCAAGAUAUUCAUGGUGUGGACCUCAAAUGACUCGUCAUGUCUACUGGCUACAUUUAAACAUAUCUUAUGGCCAGAAUGUUCAUCUUAUCAACUUAACGAGUUUAUUCAUGGUACCAUACCAUUAAAUUAAAAAAUUUCCACCUUUACCUUUAUAGAUGUCAAGGAAUAUAGCUAAUAACGCACUUUUGGCAGCAAUCUUCCUUCACCAAUUAAAGAUUUUCGGAGCUUAAAGUUCAGCUCCUAAAGCUCUUCUCCAAGUCUCACAAACCAACAGAGAAAUUACUUUUAGGAAAGUUGUUAAAUUUUGGCUUUGAUGGUAUCUUGGUAAGAUUGGAAGAUUAUAUUGCGCUUCUAAGAUAAUGUUUAAAAAAGCUAUUUUAGUGAGAGCAUUAUGGUCAAUUUGCCCCUGAUGAUAUUGACAUUAGGUCCCAUCAACAUCAGAAGGGAGCUCAUUGUAUUAUUGGAUAUAACAAGGGUGGUAGUGAAAUUAUGAAAACCCUCAAGGGAGGUUUUUGAAAUUAACCCUAAAAUACUCAUUCCACGCAAGGCGUGGCGUUCCCCUCCUAGUUCCUAUAAAUAGGGCACCAACUCAAUGCACUUAUCACUCGACAUCAAUAAUUUAGCACAUUAUUUACAUUUUGAGUGAGAUUGUGAUAAAAAUGGCAUCUUCAAAAAAUUUGCUCUUUCUUAUUGGUGUUCUCUUUGCACUUGUGCUCCUCAUUUCCUCUGAUGCAACAGCUGCAGGUACCUAGUCCCUUUUUUUUUUCCUUUCUUCCUUUUUUUUUUUGGCUGCACCUAAAUACUUAAAUGAAUGGAGAUUUGGAGACUCAUUAUUGGGAUGUGAAUUUUUAUGGAAGGCUAUUUGUAUAUUAUCAAGCAAGUCAUAUUAAUGUGCUAAUAUCCUUUUCAUUGUUUAGCAAAAGUAAAUUGGGUUGCUUCUAUCAAUGGUUAGUGGCACAUCUGAUUUUUCAUGCAUCCUUAUAGUAUUGCUGUAAGGAUACACGUUCCAUAGUGUCGCACCAAAGGUUAAACUAACGUCGAAAACCAAAUUAAAUGCUUCUAAUUAUAAUUUAAAGCAAAUAAUUCAUAUCCAAGUCGCACCAUCUUAUAUGCCUGGACUGUUUUGUUUAAUCCAUAGUAUUCUUUUCUUUGCAUAUAUCUUGCAAAUUUUCAGCCUAGCCGGUCACCUAACGUUCGCAGCUUAAGAUAAAGCUCCAAAUAUUUAUGUCUCCUUGUGUCUUGAAACAGAUCAGAAGAGCGUGAAAACCACUGGUGUCCACGAUGCCAGUUCAGGCAAAGAUCGUUGCAGACAUGGUUGCUGCCAGUGGUACCAUGGACACUGCCAAAGAUGCUGUCGAACUGCCGAGGAGACCCCUGAAGCCACAUCUGGAGAUGAGGAUACCGUCACCGCAGAUCGUUGCAGAUAUGGUUGCUGCCGCUGGUACCAUGGAUAUUGCCAAAGAUGCUGUCCAUGCAGAUAUGGUUGCUGCCGCUGGUACUAUGGAUAUUGCCAAAGAUGCUGUCCACCUGCUGAGGAGACCCCUGAAGCUACAUCCGGAGAUGAGGUCAAAAAUUAAUGCUAAAUAAAUAAGGGUGUGACACAGGAUCCGUGACACCUAUAUUAUUACCUUAAUAUGUUAUGUUGUGUUUGCCUUUGAUGGUUGAUUUCCUAUAUGUGUAAAAGACUUGUGCGGCUUCUCUUUGAAUUGGUGUAGAAUCAACAGGGGAAGCAUGUAAUGAGUACUCAGUUCGAGUGCUCUUCUUAUGUUGUUGUCAUGUUGAAUAAAUAAAUCUACUUGAUCAUCUACUGCAAUUGAUGAUCUCUAUCUCAGUUACAUCAGAAACUUCUGCACCUUGGACCUGCUAGAAUUUAGUGUGAUUGAUAUAAGACGUGCAGAAUGUUCACUAUAUGUAUAUAUGUGCUUCUUCAUCGUGCCAUGCCAUUACAAUGUGAAAGAAUUCAGCAUCGACGGAGUGAAACGUACCCAAUCCUGCUCCUGAGAAAGGAAACAAAGUCCCUCAAAAAUGGAUUUUUGGAUGCCAUCAAGAUUUUGAAUUGAAUGCCAUUUGGAGAUCUGAAUGUUGUUUUCUUUUACCUUUAGCUUCGUUCAAGAUUUUUUUGGUGGAAAUGCUUCAUUUAUACGAAUUUUCCUAGUUAGUAAAUGCUUCUAUUACACUUGUACAAUACACAUUUAAAAGUAUAACACAAUAAAAGCUUGUGUAGUUCAUAUAUUUCAAAAUAUUCAUACUUUUCAACUAAACUAUAAAAAUACGUAAUAAAUUCUUGAUACAUUAUACUUUACGAACUAUACUUUAAAUUUUACAAAUAUUUAAUACUAUCACUUAUCAAUAACUCCACAUGUUAAUUUGUCUCCCAAUUCAAUAAAUUAUAGUAGCUAAUUCUCAAAGCUAACCGACACCAAAAUUCCCUCACUUGUUCGAUUUAUAUUAAUUACAUUGCAUUUAUUUCCUAAGCAUGAGUUUUGUAACCCCUCAUAUUAAAUCUCAAUGAUUGAUUUUAACGGUUACCAAGGCGUCUAGUAAUUGGUUUGCUAUUAAUUUGAACUAGACAUUUAUUAGGUCUAGUAGAAUUUAUUCCUUCUUAUCACUUAGUUCAUAAACCUUAUGAAUCGUUAAAACCAGCUCUAACAUUAGCUAACAAGACUUCUACAAUUUCGGGUUUUGCGUAGAAAUCAGUCUGAUAGUUUAACUUGCUUCGUCCAGCUUUAUGAGUUGCUUUUUUUUUUUUCCAUAUUUGACAUUUCAUCUGACUUUAAUAUGGGGACCAAGUUAGUAUUGUUGACAUUUCAUAUCUAAGACCAAGUUAGUAUUGUUGACAUUUCAUCUGACUUAAUUAGUAUUGUUGACAUUUCAUAUCUAAGACUUCUUAAUUAAUUGAUUUGUUAUAAGAACUAUAACGUAUGCGUGUUUUGUAAGCUUUCAUGUUUUUUUUUUUAAUUCUUGUGGACCAGCAACGGAUAGUUUCUUCUAGUACCAAGCUUCCUUUGAAGUUCUUUAUUUAUUUAUUUUUUUGCGUGUCCAAAUGUAAAUUAAAAGAACCAACAACUUUGAACAAGUCUAUAUCUAGUAAGGAUAGAUAUAAAGAGAGAUACCAUAUCACUGCAACAGAAAAGGGAUUUGGCGAGGAGCAAAAGUCCAUGCCAAAAGUUUUGAAUUCCUCGCCAAUUAAUUUCAGCGAGAAAAAUGCUUCCUCGCCAAAUUUCUUGCUAGAUGCUUGUCGCUAAAAGUUAUUAGCGAGGAUGCUGCUGUUUUUCUCGCUAAUGAAACAGAUCAAUAGCAAGGGUUGACCUCCUCGCUAAUAGCUCAAAUACUCUGGCGAGAAAAGCAGCAUCCUCGCUAAUGAAACAGAUCAAUAGCAAGGGUUGACCUCCUCGCUAAUAGCUCAAAUACUAUGGCGAGAAAAACUUUUCUCACCACUAAAAUUAAAAACUCCUCACAAAAACCAGUAGUUCCUUGCAAAUAGUCAAGGUGUUUUGCUAGGAAAAAUAGCGCAUCCUCACUAAUAGUAUAGAAUUAGCAAGGAGUCUUUUGACAAAUCUGCAAUGUCCCACGUACCAGCAAAACAUUUUUGGCCAGGAAAGUUUCCUCUCUAAUAAGUGAUAAUUGAUUAUUGCCUAACUGUUUGGUGGGAAAAUGUUCCUCUCCAAUGCUGUUAUGAACAUUUCUUAAUCCCAUUUUAGCAUGCUAAUAUUCUCUGAGCAAAUUACUGGGUGGUUUUAUUAGAAAAUUUAGCUGCAAAUAGCUUCAAUUUGGCUUCUCACGUGUCUGUUGUACAUUUUCCAGGUUCUUAUAAGUAUCAAAUUGUUUGGCAAAAAAAUUUUUUUUUAAUGAAUCAUGACUAACGUAGCUGCUCAUUAAAUUUAAACUCAUAAGCCCUGCUAUUUGAUAGCUUUUUGGAAUAUCACUUUUUGCCAACAAACCCCAUUUUGCUACUUUGAUAAACAUUCAAUAGAAAACAUACAAAAGCUUUGGUUAGCUAAAAAUAAUUGCUAGCAAAGUAAUACAUCAACAUCCAGCUCUUUCAACAUCUUGAGCCAUACAAUAGGAAGUGCUUGAAAUCAAUUGGCAAUCCAAAUUUCUUUUAGCUCAUUAACCAUCCAAGAAAUCGUAACUUCAAUAAGUCAUUACAAAAGAAGAUUUCAUCAAGAGAACACCACAAAAAGGAGAAGCAGAAAAAAAUAUAACAGAGAGAGAGAGAGAGUUAAACUAGUCAUAUGGACACAUAUUUGUCACCUCAGUAUUUCCGAUUCCUUAAUUCAGUCCAGUUAUCUUGGAACUCUACCGGCAAUCCAUGGAACAUUUUUUGAAUGACAAUAUGGUGUUGCGACCUUCUGAUGAAGACUUCAAAGGUUCUAUGAUAGGUUGCAUUUUUGUCAUUAAUUCUAUGAUUAUUUUCCUCGUUUAUAUUACCAAAUAUUGUAUUAAUUGAUUGAUUCUACUUAUAUUUGGUAUUUUGUGUCAAUUGUAGGAAGGUGGAGCAAAAAGUAAUAAAAGAGGUGAUUUUUCAAGAGUUUUCCAAUUCAAGAUGAAGUUUACGUCGAGUAUUGGAUGAAAAUUAGGAAACUACCACUUUUUAUUAGAUGUCUUACUAGGGAACAAUUAGCAUUAGUUGGAGAAGUUUCUUUUUGCAAUUAGCAUUUUAUUUUUAGUUGGCCAAUGGAUGGCCAAAGUAGUAGACUUCAAUUCGGAAACAAAGAGAGAAAAAAAGCCGGAAUCCCGCGUGAUUACUACCUUGGAGGGAACAAGAAAAAGGAGAUGGCCGCUGUCUCUUCUUUAGUGAGUCUUUAGGGAAAAACCAAUGGUUAUCGAUGGAGUUUUGCGGAUCUCCCCUGAGAAUGUGUAGCUAAAUCUUCGUUUUCUAGUCGAAUGUCAAUUUGAGGAUUUUGUUCCAAACAUUUGUGAGAUCGAAUUAUUUUACUUAUUUCUUUAAUUCAUUGGUAUUUGUGCAUUUUCUGAUUUAACUUCUUAUGCUUGUUAUGUUAUUUGAAUGUCAAGGGCCUGAUAUUCGAAUUAACCUAAUAAUCUACUGUCAGAUUAAUUGAUUGAAUCCGUAAUUGUUCAAUUGAUUAAUACCAGUGGCAACUAGCGUGAUUGGUUUCAUGUUAGAAAAACGUAUGAUCUAACUUAAAUGAACCCUCAUAGCAUGUUUGUUAAUGGUCGUACCUAGAGUUAUUUUUUGGUUAGGGAAAUAGUUAAUGGUUGUACCUUAACUAUCGAAAAAGUAAGGAAAGACUAUUGUUUAUCGCGUGUAUGACAACUAUAACCAAUCUAUUAAUUAGUAACUGAAUUAUCUUUGCGUCGAUGAUCAGUUGAAUGGACCGUGUCUGAAAAGUUGCACCUUUGGCUAGAGUUGUAUUGGUUAUUGAUUAAUUCCUGUUUAUUUCUAUUAGUUGUUUCAUUAGUUGAUUAAUUAAUUAUUUUAUAUUUUCAAAAUCCCCCAUACUUCGACUCUGGAAGAAAUGAAUUAUCUCCAGUCCCUAUGGAUUCGACCCUGCUUACCGCUAUAUACAAAUUUGUAUUUUUUUUGAGUAGGUAAUUAAUAUUACACAGGUUCGACACCUGUCAUUCUAUAACUAUAUACAGAGUCAUCUUUUCAAAGAUUUCCCAUGCUGCAAAAUGUCUCUAUGAGCUUUAUUUCAUCUUCCUCCCUAUAAAUUUUCUGAUUCCAAUCUGCCUAAGAUGUUCAACAAAGCGUAUUGGGAAAACUGUUUGAAAAGUAGAUUCCAAGUCCUUGUAUAUGCAAAGUCCUCCUUACACAACUUUACAUAUUGAGAAGAUAAAAAAUUGCAGAACAUAAUAAUACUUGAAAUUAGUGAGAAUAUAUCCAAAAAAAAACAAAAUAUUAAUACCUGAAAUCAAGUUUUACAAUCAGUGCACAAAAAGCACCUAAACCCAAAUGGCCCAUGUUUUGGAAUAGACCAAGUUUAGUUCAACUGCAGAAAUUCCUAGUACAAAUGGAGCAACUUCAACUUCAGUAAAUUGCAAGCUGGUAUUAUGAUUCUAUGAAUCCUGAAAUCUCCCCAAGUCCUCUUGCCUCCAACACUAAGUAUGUACACAGACGCUGACCUGUUCUAUAUACUUGUAGGUAAAUUCAGAUCAGACGCAUUCAAUAGAACUGCCUUGAUUUGGCUCCAUAUCAGCACUACUGCUCUUUAAAUCUAACUUGAUUAAGCUGCACAAAAGGGAAGAUUACAUUAGAUGGAGAAAUUUUACUGAUUGCAUAUGAAAUAGGGGCUAAAACCAACUAGGAAAAGCAGAGAAGUUUCUUAAAUAAAUAGGUAUUUCUGGGCGUCUGUGGCUAUGUUCUUUUGCUAUUCAAGUAGAAAUAAGGAAAUGAAGAUUUGAAAUCAGAGUUCUUCACCUGCUUCCCGUAUUGCUUUUAUCUCUUUACAUUAGUUGCUUUAAAGAAUUAAAGAAAAGUAGCAUAAACUUACUCUUGCGUAUAUUUUUUUCCUUGUUUCACUCUUACAUGACAAGGGUACAAAACCUAAUUGAGGGUAAAGGAUAAACAUGUCCAAAUGGAACACUGUUGGAAGGACUGUCCUCAAUGCCUAAACAGAGGUAGUUUUAGGAGUUCUAGAGUCUAGACAUAAGAUUUGUAGCAAACCGAAAAAAGCAACCAAAUGAACGUGUUUCUCGAUCUUCGGCAUCAUUUAGCAUUCGGAUCCUAGCUAGCAAAGACAGUAGUAAAUCAACUAAUAUAUCUUGUUGAUUGCACUGCAUUGGACAUGCGCCAAGCUAAAAGUUUUUUUCUUUUAUUUAGCUUCUUCAAUCAAAUGAAUGAGUAUCUGAUUUGCAAUUUGAUUUCAGCACUAUUCAGGUUGUGGAUCAUCAUCGAAUGUGGAACUGCAGAAAAGUAAUUCAAGCAGUUGACUAUUGAACCACACCGCUCUCUGCUCAAAAGUCUUCGGUGCUCUAUUUUGAACAUGAAGCAGUAAUUGGUCCAAUAAAGAAACUUCCUCGCGGAUCUGCCAAAUAACCCCCCCCCCAAAAAAAACACUCCGACUUCCCUUCCGGCCAUCAACGCCUCCAUUGCUCAUUCCCACCACAUGCUCUAAUGUCAUUCCCUUCCUAGAAAGUUGUUCACAGGGAAAAGAGCGAGAAGAAAAAAUACUAUCUUAAUAAAAGGUCGAAAGCAGGUACUACUAGUUUUUUGUUUUUACACCAAACCAAUUAUUGUGGAUGUGGAUUGGAGAAUCAAUAAUAGCGUGUGUGGAUCCACCGAGUUUCUUAUAGCUGAUAAUAAUUAAUAAAAGAAAGAAAAUCCAAGCUCAGAAGCUGCUCCUCAUUAUCUUUCUCACAUGAGGGUAUCUUAACCUCCCCCAGACCCAGACCAUUUUCAUCCCCAUCCAAUUGAUUGCAGAAACCAAUAUAUUACACAUACCCACUAACCCUACUUAAGUACUAGUGUGAUAUAUCACUCAAACCCCCACCUAAAACUGACGGCACCACCAAAUCCUCCCCCCACGCGAACUCCGCAGGACACCCAGAUCCGUGAUAAAAAGGGAGGAGAGAAUUUAGUUGCCGAUCAUUUGAGUCGAUUGCCUAUUGUCAAGGAUGAUUUUAUAUUGAGGAAAACUUUUGCGAAUGAGCAACUAUUUUCUAUUAAUCCUCUCUUCCUUGGUAUGCGGAUAUUAUUCAUUUCUUUUUUUUUUUUACAGAAACGUUAGGAAAUAUAUUGAUUUCAAACCAAGCUAUACAAACUUGAGCAACGGCCCAAAAGGAUAUUAUUCAUUUCUUGACCACUAAUCAAUUGCUUGCACAUUGGUCAAAAACAAAAUGAGAUAAGCUCAGACGUGAUGCUAAGUAUUACUUAUGGAAAGACCCCUAUUUAUAGAGGCAAUGUGCAGAUCAAAUACUGCGCAGAUGUGUAAGUAAGAGUGAAUUUAAUUCUAUUUUAAUAUUUUAUCACUCUUAUGCAUGUGGAGGCCAUUUUAGAUCACAAAGAACUCUUGUAAAGUAGUGGAAAGCGAUUUUUAUUGCCCACAAUUUUCAAAGAUACAUACUUGUUUUGUAAGUCAUGUGAUAGAUGCCAAAGGAUAAGAAAUAUUUGUCAUAAAAAUUAGAUACUAAAAACCCUUAUGAUUUUUUGUGAAAUUUUUAUGCAUGGGGUAUUGAUUUUAUGGGUCCAUUUCCUUCGUCUUUUGGUUUCCUUUACAUCUUGUUGGCGUAGAUUAUGUGUCCAAGUAGAUAAAAACAAAAGCCACCCGAACUAAUGAUUCUAAAGUGGUUGUAGAUUUCAUUCAAUCACAUAUUUUUGUUCAUUUUGGGGUAUCACGAAUUAUAGUAAGUCAUCGAGAAAAACACUUUUGCAAUAAAAUGAUGGCGGCUGUAUUUCGUAAAUAUGGAGUGACUCAUAAGGUAUUUAGUUCUUAUCACCCCCAAACGAAUGGUCAAGCGGAGAUUUUGAAUAGGGAAAUUAAAUAAAUAUUGGAGAAGAUGGUUCGCCCGAUAGGAAGGAUUGGAGUUCACAUUGAACGAUGUACUCUAGAUUGAUAGGACAGUCUAUAAGAAUCCUAUAGGUAUAUCUCCCUAUAGGUUGGUAUUUGAGAAGUCGUGUCAUUUACCGUUGAGCUCGAGCACAAAGCAUAUUGGGGGAUCAAGAAAUGCAACAUGGAUCUUGAUGAGGUGGAGUACAGAAAACUUCAAUUACAAGAAUUGGAAGAGUUGAGGAAUGAACUUACGAGAAUGCAACACUAUAUAAAGAGAAGAUUAAGGUUUUUCGUGACCAAUAAGUUGCAAGGAAAUCAUUUGUAGUUGGGCAAAGAGUUCUUCUCUAUCAAUCUCAUCUAAAGCUCUUUCUAGGUAAGUUGCGCUCUCGUUGGGCUGGUCCAUUUGUUGUGAUUAAUAUUUUUCACUAUAGUGCAGUGGAAAUUCAGAGUAUGCAGAUAGAUAAGAAAUUUGUGGUUAAUGGUCAUGUUUUAAAUCCUAUUAUGAAAGUGUUUCAAUGGAGAAGGUGGAGAUAAUAAAUCUUGAAGAUCCCACUUAUGCUACUUGAACAAUAUUCGACCAUGUCUAAUCAAAGACGUUAAACCAAGACGCUUAUUGGGAGGCAAUCAAAUUCUUUUUUUAUUGUUUGUUCACUAAUAUUAUGUGUUUCACUAUGUUUAUCUUAUGUUUUUCAAAUUUGGCAUUUAUUUUUCGUUUUUAAUGUUUUUGGUUAGAAGACUUUUCCCAACAAAACGUGCCCACGCGUUUAAGGGUAUGUGGUAAUGCACAAAUCCAAUUCCAUCAUCAGAAAACUAUGGACCAACAUGACGUGCCCAUGUCUUGAGGGUAUGUUGUAACUCUAAUUAGCCAACUUUAUCAUAAAAAGUGUUUCAACCAAUAAGACGUGCCACGUCUUGUCCUGCAAGGGAAAAAAACAAAUUGAACCCAAAAGAAUUUUUUUUCUUCUUUUUUUUUUCUUUCCUUUUUUUUAUUCUUUUCUUUGUCUUUCUUCCUCUUUUCUUUCUUUCCUUUCCUUCUUUCUUUUUUUCUUUCUUUAUUUCGCUCUUUCUUUUCCUCAGCUGCACGACCAAAACUCUACUUGCUGCUUGCCCGCAGUUCAUCGCCCACCGUCCACUGUUGUCGCAGUUCGCUAGUUUGUCUCUACUACCGUUGCUGUCGUCGUCGUUCGUCAAAGCCUGUCACUGGUUUCGCCAUCACCCGUCUCUAGUUUUGCUGUCGCUCGCUACUGUGCCAUUCACCGCUGCUAGCCCGCCAUGAACGUCCAUCCUCUGCCAACGACAGCCAUCGCUCCGCACUUUCUCUGUUGUCUUGUUUCUACUGACCCAGUUUUUGGUAUUCUUAUCCUUCUCUUUAAAUAUUGUUGGGUUGCUACUUCAGAGUUUAUUAGAAUUUCUUUUUGCAGGGUUGAUUUAAUUUGUUGAUUGGGUAUUCCUCGAAUUGUUGGAUUGGCACUACCUGACAUCUGCUUGUUUUCUGAUGAUGACCACCAACUUGCACUACUAUUUUGCAUCCAUGGGGAUUCAAUGCUGAUUGGAGGUAAUAAACUGUGGUGAAAUUGCCGCUACUUACUUGCCAAUUGCUGAUUUUUUGAUAUUGAUAGGGUAUUGUUCUUACAUUUCUAGUUUUCUUAUUAAAUAGUGUCACAUCUAUGGGCUCUUUACUGUACACUUUGAUUUGAAAUUGCUUGGCUAUCUUUAGUCGUUUGACAUACAUUAGAGGCUUGUAUUUCGCAUUGUCUGAAUCGUCGUUUACUGCUAUUUUGGAUUCAGUUAUCUAAAUGGCUAAGAAAAAAAAGACCACCAAGGCCAAGACCUCUACGACUAAAACCACUCCCCCAUCCCAACCAACUAUACCAUGACUGACCCUUCUACCAUCCUUCUGUCAGGAUCAAGCGCUUACCAUUGCACCAAAAGCUAUAGCUGUUAGCGAAGGCGUAACUUUAUUUCCUUAACCACAAUGGCAGCGCAAAGCACCGUACCACGCUAGGCCAGCAUGAGGGGCUGCACCCCUAGGUGCACGGGCUGGGCGGUUAGUCCCUUCGAGCCGGGAUCUGAGGGAUGUUGCUGAUUAGGCCAACAAUCCCCCCCAAGCAACAGCCAGGGAGACUCGAACCCGCGACCUUGCUCUGAUACCACUUGUCAGGAUCAAGUGCUUACCAUUGCACCAAAAGCUAUAGCUGUUAGCGAAGCGCAACUUUAUUUCCUUAACCACAAUGGCAGCACAAAGCACCGUACCACGCUCGGCCAGCAUGAGGGGCUGCACCCCUAGGUGCCACGGGCUGGGCAGUUAGUCCUUCGAGCCGGGAUCUGAGGGAUGUUGCUGAUUAGGCCAACACCUUCUUUUUCGGGUAAAUGGGCAUGCUUAGGUAGGGACAAGGGGGUCCAUAUCUCCUCACUCUCCCACUUUAGGGGUAAUUUGGCUCUCACCAAAGUCGUGGAUAAGCAAAGAUACUCUAAUUAUUAUGAGUGGCAAAUUAUUCCUUGUAAACAUCUUGACCCUCCCAUCAUGGUUUCUUUGAAUAUCUUUGAGAAUAUUGCACAAAUGUUUACUGCCAUAGGCUGGCAUUCUUAUGUCGAAAUACGAUGUCCUACUUUUGUUGAAUUGGUUAGGGAGUUUUACACCACCUUUGAGUUUGAUCUAUCCAUAGGGUAUUCUGUCACAACUUCGAAUGUGAUUCGAUUUCGAUUGAUGGGUAGGAGUUUAAGUUCUCCAUUACCGAGUUUAAUUUGGCCUUUGGGUUCAUUGAUAGUAAGUAUGCCAAUUCUAGGGAAUAUGCCGAGAGUGCUUGUGAUUAUAUUGACCCAUUUUUCUCCUUUCACACCGAGAUUUGAAGGAUGUUUCUAUUGAUGGUGAUUGUUAUGAUCCUAGCCGGUCAAAGAGCUGUUAUCUCAAGGACCUGAGUUCCUGUUAUAUUCAGCACUUUUUAGCCUAUAAUUACUCAGGUAGGAAAGAUAGUAACGAGACCUUUUCUAAGCCCAAAUUUUUCUUUAUUUGGUGCAUGACUAAAAAUAUCAAAGUUAAUUUGUGCUAUUGGCUAGUUUCCCAAUUCAAGACGGUUAUGGUUAAGAAACACAAACCUUUGAUUCUUGGGUCUUACAUCACACAUUUAGCUAUUCAUUUAGACAUUCUUGAUCCCCAUAACCAUGAUUUGUAUUUUGCUUGUAACAUGGACCCUUUAGAUAUGGUUUGUCUAGAGAAAAUGGGUGUAGUGGAACAGGUUGAUGACGCGUGGCAGUUUACUCUUUCGGGCCCACUCAUGUACCCGUUCGUCGUCCUUCUGUGUGUCUAGCACCACCUCUACUUCAGGAGUAGCUGAUGGCAAGCUUGGACCAUCUACCUCCGCACCUUCUCCAUCGUCAUCUUGGAUGCUGAGUGGCGAUACCUUCAUGCACAAGUUCACCAUAUGGAUGAACGGUUGACUAAUCUUGCACUUCACAUGUCCCAGAUGUCCUAGACUUUUGCGGCUUACUUCCACCAUGUGGGUUUUAUGCUGUCAUUCCCGCCUCAUCCAUAGCUGUCCGGAGUCCUUCACCACUUUCUUUAGGAAAGUUUCAUUGUCCCCUUCUUUUUCUUUUCUUUAUUUCUUCCAUUCGGGACAAUAUCAGAUUUAGGUGUAAGGAGGGAGUUGUUGUACAGUUGGUACUGUUCAUUUUUAGCUGUUUUCAUUUUCUCUUUGUCAUUUGUGAGUAUUUUUAUGGAUAUUUGGGAUCGACAAUGGUUAGUUGAUUCCAAUUUUUCUAUUACCAAGUUUUAUUUAUAAGAAUGUAUCAAGUGCAAUAUGGGUAAGUCUAAGAAUAGCUCCUCGGUGAAUAUUUGAGAUUUUGUGACUUUUGCAAUUUUUGGUUAGCUUUCUAGGCAUUGUGCAUAUUUUUCUAGUAUUUUCCAUGUAAAUUGGUUCGAUUAUUAAUUUUAGUUCUCCAUGUUUGAGAAAUGAUGCAAGCUUGUGUGAUUUUUAAUAUUAUUUUGUUGCUAAUUUGUGAAUAGUAUUCGACUAUAUUCCGCUGGUUAUCGCUACUAAUAACCGGAGUUUUCUCUUAAAGUGUCAACUUUCAUGUCAAACAGUAGCGGUAGCUAUGAGUAUGUGCCCUUAAAUGAUAAAAAGUUGAGUAACCUGAUUCCUUCAUUUAGUAGAUGUCAGAAUUUACAUCAAAAGACUUGAAUGGCUAACGACUAAAUCUUGUCCCUGAAAAAUGAACCAAAAAAGAAAAAAAAAAAGAAAAAAAAAAAAGAAACUGUGCGAGUAUGCAGUUGAUUAUGUUAGCUAUCGAUCCAUGGGUUUAAUGUUGAGAUUUUGGUCAAUAGUUGAGCCGUUUGCUGAUCAAUGCUAGUCAAAUGUUCUAUCGUCUUAGAUUAGUUAGUCAGAAUUGUAGAAGUCCUUGGUUUUAAAAGCUAACUGAAGAGCUAUUUCAUGGAACUUAGCUAUUAUACUUUGAUGAUAUUUUGACAGUAGACGAGUUGAGUGAUAAUCAUUGUUGGGAUUCAGUUGCUGAUUUGUUGUUUCUCAUACUUGAGACAAGUAUGGUCUAGGUGGGGGGAAAUUGAUAGUGUGUAAAAUUGUUAUUCAAUUUAUGAUUAUUUUUCCCUUUUAUUCUACUUAUAUUUGGUAUGUGAUGCUAAUUGUAGGGCAGUGGAGUGAAAGUUGCUAAAAAGGGACGAUUUCUUCAAAGUUGGUUGCCAAGUGCGGAGAUGCGGAAUUUGUAUGCAAAAGUUUCCUAAUCCAAAAUGGAGUCUGAGCAGAGUAGCGACUAGAGAUUAAGAAAGUUUUUCUUCUAGAGAUUUGAUUUAAUUAGGAAGCAAUUAGCGUUAUCUUUUAGGAGUGUUUCCUUUUUCAAUUAGAAGUAGUUUUAUUCUUGGAAGCAAGAAAAUAGGGGACGAGCCGUUUGACUUUUAGUACUUGACAAAAAACAAGACGUGGGAGACGAGAAGUUUUUGGGAGCGCUGGUGACUAGACUCGCCGGGAGGAAAAGAACAAAGAUCCUGUCCUCUUUGUUAUUGCUUUUACUGUCGUUUUCUAUUUUACUGGAUGCUUAUGCAAUUUAAUUCAAUUAAAUUGUGUUGCUUGAUGCCGAUGAUGUGCAACUAAAUUUUGCUUUUCUAGCCAAGAAAUAACGUGAAUUUGGGUCAUCAACAAUUGUGAGAUCUAACUGUUUAUAUUAAUUUCUUUUAUUCGUUAGUAUUCAUAUGUUUUUUGGUUUAAUUGCUUAUGGGUAUUAGUUGUUUGAAUAUCAAAGACGUUUGAUAUUUAAUUCAACCUAACAAACUAUUGCCAAUUAAGACAGUUAAAUUCACAAUUAUUUAAUUAUUUUAAAUUAGUAGCGACUAGCGUGAUUAGCUUUACGUCAGGGAGACAUAUGAUUUAAUUUAAAUAAACCCUGAUAAUGUGUUUAUUUAUUAGGACAAGACUUUUCUAGUUUCUAAUGCAAUCAAGGAAUUAAAUUCUAUCAACGUACCUAGGGUUAUUUUUUGGUUAGAGAAGUAGUUAACGAGUGUACCUUAACUAUUGAGACACUAAGGAAGAGCCGGUUGUCAUCGCGUGUUUGGCAACUAUAACCUGUUUAUUAACCAAUAAAUGAAAUAAUUCUUGCAGCGAUGAGCAGUUGUUUGACCUGCUUCCGGAGUUAUUUCCUUGGUUAGAGCUCGUUCAUCCUUGAUUUAAAUUUAAUCUGUUUUAGUUUAAUUAUUUUCAAUUUGCAUUGAUUAUUUAUUUUUAAUUGCAAUUUUCCAAACUCCCCCCAAUUAAUUGUCACUUGGAAAGAAGCAAAUUUUCACUCGAAACCUUGAGUUUAUAUCUUUUUGAGUAGGAAUUUAUUAUUACCCAAGCCUGACACCUGUCGAUUAACACAAGGUUUCGAGCAAUGCACAGUUUCUUUUGUAUCUAGAAUGGCUAAUGUAGUCAUAUGCUAGCAAAUUUUGCAAUAAAACUAGUUAAUGAUAUAGAAUGGGUAAAUGAUUUCCCAAUUCGACUAAUAGAAGCAGCUAGGAAGGAUGAGUGGGUGAAUGCCCCUGUUUGUAAUUAACUCUUGUACUUCAAGUGUUAAUAUAUAUACUGAUAUUAUCAUUUGUUGAAAAAAAAGGAAAGUGUUUAUUUGUUUAAUAAAAUAGUCACGGUAGUGUUUAUAUAAUUUUGUAAACAUUGAAAAGUAAAUUACCUCGUUGAUUUGAUCAUGUUGAAGAUACAUAAUCUUGAAAAAGGAUGAGUGGGAAGAUACAUAAGUUGUUCAAAUAUCCAUGGGACAGUGUAACCCCUUUGAAGGUCAAUUCUUAGACCCUCAUCAAAGUUUCUGGAGUUGCGUAUUAUAGGGGUGCAAACACAAAAACGAGACAUCCUUAGUCAAAUGGGGUUCGUUCUUUGUGCGAUUUUAAUAUAUGCCGCUGUUAAAAUAGGAUACUUUUGUGGGUUGAACUCUUUUGUGCCCAACAUGUGCCCCAGGCAUCGUUACUACAGAGUAUGUGAUCCAAUUACCUAUGUAAGGUCACAAUGUUAGAGAUGCGAAAUUAUAUUGCAAUGGUCCCUAAAAUCCUACUUGAUCGAUAGGAAUACUAAUUAGGUGAAUAUGAGGACUCUGAUUCGACUCUCGAUCUUUCCUCUCAAAUUACACUAAUAUUUUUAGUCAUACACUCAUCCCCUUACUAACUUCCUAUGGGCCCAAUAUGUUGAGUAGAAUACGAUUGGGACAACCGAAAAGAAAAGAAAAGAAAACAAAUACAAAACAAUGAAAUAGAGACUUAGUCAAGUUGGAAGCUAUGAGGAAGUGAGGAGCACAAGUGCGAACAGAUCACCAAGGAAAAAGAAACAAGUUUUUCGAGAAUGAAAUAUGAUUUCAAGCUCAAUCAAAUUCUAAGAGUCAAUGAUAAGAUCGAAAAAUGUGGGACCAUUGGAAGUAUUUCAUAUGCAAGUUGUAAUUAUAUCUCAACUUGUAUAAUUUUAAUUUAAUAAGAUUAAAUUAAUGACCAUGUCAAUGAUUUCUGCAUCAUGCAUGACAUUCUUUUUUCUUGUACUCUCCCAAAAGCUGAAAAUUCUCUUCUCAAUCUCCUCCUCCAGCGAUGGCUGCAUGUCUGUACAUGUUCCCCACAACAAGAAUAAUGAAUCAAUUGCCAUAAUUGCAUGCAUUUAAAUUUUCUGAGCUGGUGAUAAAUUGCAUAGUUUUGAUUUUUUUUCUGUUUCCGGUUCCCACUCUAGCUACUUCUAGAUUUAUUAAUUGGAAAAAAAAAAGAAGAAGGAAUAAAUUAAACCUUAUUUAAUUACUUUUUUAGUCAGGAUAUCUAUAGUAGAUGUAAUUAUCUCUAUAGAAAUGAAUGAAGCAUCCUAGCUUGUGAUCAUUAUCCUUUGUUGCAAUUCUCUUGUUCUUUUUUUUUUUUUUUCCAAAAGCGGCAAAUGUAUUUUAUUCGAGCAAAAUGUUAAGUACAAAAGGGUGAGCAACUGCUCUCAAAAUCUUCCCUGGCUGCAUGCACUAACCAGACAGGGAAAGAGGUCCUCCAAGAGGUUUCCUCACAACCAUUAAAAGCAAAAUGUGCCAAAGAGUGACUAACAAAGUUGCAAAUCCUUUUGACAAAAGAAAAACAACAUUUCUCAAAGAAACAGCUCAUCCGAGAGAUGUCUUCCAGUAUCAUACCAAUCCAUUUAUCGUUGCAAUUCUCUUGUUCAAACUUCAAAUUAAGGCCUUGUUUGCUAACCCAAUUCAGCACUUAAAUUUAAUGGAUUAAGAUCUUAACAUAUUCAGAUGCGUUUAAUAACCAAAAGUUGAAUAUCUGAAUUAAUUAAGUGACACUAAAUUUUCCAGGCAAAACUUACCCCUAAAAAAAAGCGAUAAGUUAUUCACUUAUCACUUAAUAUGAUAUACACUCAAAUAUAUCAGAUUUAAUACUUAUAAUAACUUAAUGAAUUCAGAUUUCAAUUUUAUCAAAUGCCCCCUAUCUCAGCGCAAACUGAAUAUGAAAUCCAAAGUUGAAAAUCCAAGAUGUUAGAACUUUGAAACCAUAGAGCCUCUAGGCAAAUUAAGCAUUUUUACAUUCUACUGAUUUAGGGCAUCUUCAAUUAUCAGUUUCAACUCCAUGGUAUAAUAUAGAUAUUACCUCUAAUAGUCGUACGCACUUACACAACAAAUACAGAUUGUGAAAUGAAUUGAAUAAGUUUGAUAUUUUGUAGGCUUUGGGAUAUGAUUUUCACGUUUAGGAAAAAAAAUAUGUUAGUAAGUAAUAAUGUGAUACCCCUUGUCCCACGUUGGAAGUGGGAGAGGAAAAGGAUUGAUAUAUAUACAAGAUUUGGUCUCAUAAGUUACUAGUUACUUGGGCUAACCAUGUCGGGAAAGUGUAUUUCGACACAAAACUUACUUAGGCCAACCAUGGACUUGGAUGGUGAUAAAUAACUUACUAGAAGCCAGGCAUAUUUAUGUUUAGAUGUGCUGAAAGCAGAGUAGUUCAGAAUCUAGAUAAUGGUAACGAUAUGAUGAAAAUGAGAAGUUAUAUGGUAAACUUUAUAGAUUAAUAAUUUCAUCAAGGCAUCAUAUACAAGCAUGAUGACACAAUCCCAACUUUCAUUCUUUUGUUAAAUCUUAGUUUUUUUGUCUUAGAUUUUUUUUCAAAUAAAAGAAGGAUGGAAUUUAAGCAGUAGAGGGGUGGAAGGGGAAUUUGAAUUCGAAAUCUCAAAUUUCUAAGCUUUUCACUAAGCAAUCGUCAAAACCAAAAAAUAAAUAAAUAAAAAGAAAAAAAAUGAGGACCUUGUGGUCAAUGCUCCUGUUCUAAGACAUCAUCUCCCUCUAUUGAAAUCUAAGUACCCUUGUGAUAGGGUGUUAAUUGUUGGUAUUUUUAUUAUUAAUUUUCCCUUCUAUCCCUGACAAAUAUUGUGUUAAUUGCUGAUAUUUACUCAUAUUUGGUAUUUGGAAUCAAUUUCAGGAAUGAAGCAGAAAACUACCAAAAAGGAGGGACUUUGUGAAAAAUAUGGAGACUUCAAAGGGUUUCAAUCCUUGGGCCCUUGAAUUGGUGGGGACCACAAGCUAGUGAAAGGCAUUUGGUCAUUUGGGCUUCAAAGAAAGCAACGUAGUGAGACUUGGAACAAGAAAUACUUGGGAGGCUUUGUCCACAUGUGUGGGGACCACCUAGAUAGCUUUUAGUCAUCUUUCUUUUGUUGCUUUAAAAGGGGACAACGUACAGAAGCAAGAGAUAUCUAGGGCUUUAGUUUGUUUUUUAGUUUAGUUCUAGUUUUCUUUCUUUGGACUGGCCUCUGACACACGCCAGGUAUUCGACAAUAUUCCCCAACGGGGAGAUUUUCUCAUGAGGCGUGGUUAAGCUUUUCUAGUCAAGGGGACAACUAAAGAUUUGGUUCAACAAUUACUGUGAGAUCUAAUUUAUUUUAAUUGCUUCCUUAAUUUAUUGGUAUUUAUAUGUUUCCUGCUUUUAAUUGCUAUAGCUCGUGUGAGUGAUUGAAUAGAUGCGCAAUAUUUAAUUAUUCAUAUAGGCUAUUUUGCUAAAUAGGGGUAAUUGAAUCCGUAAUUGUUCGUUAUCCCUAUCUCAGUAGCAACUGGCGUAAUUGGGUUUAUGACAGGGGAACAUACGAUCUAAUUUAAACAAACCCUCGUAGCGUGUUUGUUAGUUAGGAUUGGGCCUUUCUAAUUAUUAAUGCAAAUCUAGAAAUUAAAUCCUACGGUCGUACCUAGGGUUGUUUCCUGGUUAGAGAAAUAGUCAACGGUCGUACCUUGGCUAUCGACAAAUUAAGGAAGGGUUGGUUGUUUAUCGCGUGCAUGACAACUAUAUACUAAUCUAUUAAUAAAUGUGGAAUUAUCUGUGAAUCAAUGAUCAGUGCCUGAACCAUUUCUGAAGUGUACCCUUGGCUAGAGUUUUCUCCAAUAAUUAUUCCUUUUAUUUAUUUUCUGCAUUUAAUUUAUUUAGUUAGCAUUUAAUCCAAAACCCCCACAUACCUUGGACUCUAGAAGAAACGAAUUAUCCCCAGUCCCUGUGGAUUCGACCCUACUCACCGCUAUAUACAAAAUCUGUAUUUUUCUCGAGUAGGUACUUAUUAUUGCACAGGUUCGGCACCUGUCAAUUUUUGGCGCCGUUGCCGGGGACUGGUGCCUGAUUAAUUUGUUUCUUUUUGAAUUUAUCUUGUUUUCAUUUUUUUAAAAUUUAUUUUUCUCUUAUUUUUUCUUUUUUUUAUUAUUUUUUUAUGGCUGCUAACAUUCAAUAUUUUGAUGAUAGACUGGACUUUGUUCCUGAAUGGGGUUAUGAGACUCAUGUUUUCCCUAAUGAUCAAUGGGCUGUUGCAAAUUGUGGAACUUAUUUUGAUUCAAGUUAUUCAACUGACACAUGCCCGCAUUUCAAGAUAAUCUAAGUGCUCCAAUUGAUACUUUUGGAGAUUUUUCACCCCAAUAUCAAACGCAGCAUGACCCUUAUUCAAACGGGUAUGAUCAAGGAUGGUGGGAUAAUUCCAAUUUUGAUUAUGCGACCGGGCCAAUGGAUUUUCAACAGCAAGUGUCUCAGCAAUCAUCCUCCGUGUCAGGCAUGUCUCUUGAAGAAAUGAUGGAAUUACUAAUUGCUAAUACAAAUCGAUUUCAUCAGGAGACACAGAGCCUAAAUCGAUUUCAGCAGGAGACACAAGCGAGCCUUCGCGACCUGGAUCAGUACCUAUUGACAUCCAGAAUAAAUCGAUUGGCUUCUCAAAGGGAAGAAUUGCCCUCGAAAACCAUAGUUGAUCUAGAAGAAAAUGAGAGUGCAAUUGCUUGACUAGUGAUGAGAAGAUGCAAGAGUGUCAAAAUGAGAAAUCUACAGAUGCAGUUGAAAAAGAAGCCGAAAAGGAAGAAAUGGAACCCCAACCGCAACCCAUUCAAGUGAAUGAAUCCAGUGAACAAUCUCCAAAUCGGUACAUCUUCUCCACUCCUUAAUCAAUAUUUUCCUGACUCCUAUUCUUCAAUUCCUGUUACUGAAAUUGAUUUAUUAUACCAGAAAUUUUGAAAUUUCAUGACAGGAAUAAGUUAAGAGUGGCAAUGAAAAAAUAUCUUGAACCGAAAAUGCGUGUGAUGGAGGAGUGAGUGGAGAAUGCAGAUCAUUGUUGACUUGUUUAGCGCUAUUCACUAGUCCAUGGAAGCCGUAACUCGUAUGCUCAAGGAUUAUUCUAUUUACGAGGGUUAUCAGGACUAUAUAGAGGAUGAAGCAGUAAGACGAGCCACAAGAUUUUAUCCUCCAUGAGCAAAACAUGAUAAUGUCUAGCCAAAGACAUUAAAGAAAGGCGCUCCUUGGGAAGGCAACCCAAUUGUUCCUUUUAAUUGUUUGUUCAUUUUCGUGUGGUAUUUAGAUGUAUUGUCGCUUGAAUUCGACUGAUUUUGGUUUCAAUUUUCGUUUUGCUGAUUUAUAGGUGUCUUUCAGUCAUGACGCUCCCGCGUGGUGAUGUGCAGGAAGCUCACGAUCAGAAACUUCUGGGAGCUCUCUUGCCCUCAUGACGUGCCGCGUGGUGAUGUGCAGGAAGCUCACGAUCAAAAACAUCAGAAACUUCUGGGAGCUCUCUUGCCCUCAUGACGCGCCCGCGUCACGUUCACGGGAAAGGUAAGGAUUCAAAAAAAAAAAAAAUUUCUUUAUAACCGUAGCUACCUCUUUUCUUUUUUGUUACAAAGAAAACAAAUAAAAAAUAAAAUAAAAAUAAAAAAAUUUUUGGAAAAAAAAAAAAAAAAAAAAGAAAAAGAAAAAAAGAGGAAGUAAUACGGAAUCAAAAGGAAGAAUUUUUCUUUCUCCUUAACCGUACUAGUCCUGACUUGUCAACGUAAAAACAAAAAAAAAUCCCUUUCUUUUCUUUCUUCUUUUCUUUCUUUCUUUCUUCUCUUCUUCUUCUUUCUUUCUUUUCUUUCUUUCUCUACUCUGUUCCCCUGCUGGUCCGUCGCCCUGCUACCCGCACACUCCAAGCUCAGUGGCAGUCCAUCAGCCCUCGCGCGCAGCUCUCUCCCCAGCGAGCCGUUGCGCCAUCUCCACCUGCGCGCUCCAGCCGCCACCAUUUCGCCGCUGCCUGCCACAGCCCAAGACCACCGCCGUGCGGUCAACCUCAGCGGCCACCAGCUCUGCAACUUCGUGCGCCACCAGCGGCUGACCACCAGACACGCCACCCACCUCGCUUCCCUCUCUCUCCCGCGGCCAUCAUCAGCUUUGCCUCACCUCACGCCAACCACUACCACCCCAGUUCUUUAUUUGGUAGCCGGUAGAGGUAUUUCAACCUCGAUCCCCAAUUUUUGGUGUUGAUUGGUAUCAUUUAGCGGCUGUGUUACUUUACUCCGAAUUUGUUCAUUUGCUGUUAUUGCCUAUCUAAUUGAUAGUACGGGGAUUAUGCCUGUGUUACUACGGUCUAUAUUCUAACUUGCUAUUUCGGGUCGGCCAAUUUCUUGGAAUAUUUAUUGUGUUUUUUGUGGAUUUGAGUUCAAUUGUUUUGGGUUAUUGGUGUUUGACAGUUGCCCUGCUCUUGGCCUCUUUGAUUAGCACAUUCGUUGAAAUUGGUUGUGCUCUAGCACAGUGCCGGGGGACAUUUUUUCAAACUUUUGGGGGAAUUGUUGAAGUUCUUGGUGGGCUGGAAUUUUAACAAUUGUCUGUGAUAUUUUGGGAAGGAUCUCGGCCAGUGUUGUGCUUGUUGAAAUUUUGGUUGAUUUAAUUCGGCAACUGCAUUCCUUGUUGGCAUUAGUAGUUUUUAAUCGAGUUUUUGAGGACAUUUGGGAUGUUGGUUUAUAUUGCUGAUUUGGAGGAACAGUGUCUGUGGUUUUGGUCUGAUCAUUUGUGCAAUUUGUUGACUCAUUUGAACUUAUUUGUUUCCUGGGUUGUUUAUUAACUUCGUGGACUGGUUCCCACCUACGGUUCCUCUACUUGCUCUAUUCAUUGGAAUUCCAGUCGCCUGUUGUUCUUCUUUAGAGGUUUAGAAUCUUUCUUGUGAUUAGAUUAACACUUGGGGCUAUUGCUUUACUACUGCUCUACUCUGCUAUAGCAAUUUCAUUGAUUUUGGACUACGUUUUGCACCAGUGGUACUGGUUGGGGGUAUUUUGAUUAGCAUUUGUUAUUUUCAAUUAGUUGGCUACCUGAUUGUGAUUGUGUGGUUAUUCUCCAACUUCUAUACUGCUAUUACUGAAUUGCUGCUUUUGAGUUGAGAAAUUAACUGUCUACUUGGAGGCUUUGUUGAGAUUUUGGGUGGACAGAGUUUUGCAUUUGCUGGUUGAAUUGAGUUGAGAUAUCUCAGACCUUGGCCGCGUACUUCUAUCACAUCAGUUUCCGUGGCACCUUUCCCGCCUACCCUUUCGCCACUCGUGAGGGAAGUUUCGUUGCCCUCUUCGUUUUAAUUGCUUUAAUCCCUCAAUUGAGGACAAUGUAGGAUCUAGGUGUGGGGGGACAGCUAUACUAGUUAUUUAUUUUUAGUUUGCUAUUUGUCCACCUCUCGUUCAUUUUUUUUUUCUUCUUUUUAGUGAUUGGCUCGUAAGUGCAUGCCAAGGUUUGAUGUUGAAUUAUUGCCUCUAUUUCUACUUUUGCCAAGUUUUAAUAAUAAAAGGGUACCAAGUUAAUGUGGUUGAAUCCAAAAACAUCUCUUUGGUGAAUAUCAAUGAUUGUUUUACUCUUAUAAUUUUUGUUAACUUUCCUAGGCAUAGGGAAUGAUUAUUGGCAUUUUCGUGUGACAUGGUCCGGUUAUUAACUUUAGUUCUCCAUGUUUGAAAAUGAGGUUAGCUGAUGCAAGUUUUCUUUUGGUUCUUGUGUUAUAUUGAGUUUUGUGAUUUUUAGCUAUGAAUAAACUUGACUGUACUCCGCUAUUAGUUACUACUGAGAAACCGGGGAUCUGCAGCUAAAAGUGUUGAUUCUCGCGUCAAAAGUAGUAAUUGCUAUGAGUACGUGGUCACGUGGCGAUAGAAGCUGAGUAACCGGGCUCCUUCAUCUGGCCAAUGUUGGAGUUCGCGUCAAAAGGCUCAAAUGGCUAGCGACUAAGUCUUUUGUUACUAUUGAAAGAAAAAAAAGAAUCAAAAAAAAAAGAGAGAAAAGUAGAAAAAAUGUGAAAAAAAUGAAGGUUGUGUUAGUGUGUAAUAAAAGUCAGCUUGCCGAAUUAUGGAUUUAAUGUUGAGAUUUUGGUUAAUAGUUGGACCAUUUGCUGAUAAAUGUUGUGUGUCAUUCCUUUUUCUUAGAUUAGUUAACCUGGAAUUAGAGGAGUUUGUGGUUUAGAAGCUAACCGGAGUGAUGUUUCUUGGACUUGACCAUUGAUGCUUGAAUAUUAUUUUUCUUGGUAUCUUGGCAAUUUGUUGGAUAGAGCAAUAGCCACUAUCAAAUAUUGGUGUUUGUUUCUUGUUCUCAUGCUUGAGGACAAGCAUGGUUUAGGUGUGGGGGAAUUGAUAGGGUGUUAAUUGUUGGUAUUUUUAUUAUUAAUUUUCCCUUCUAUCCCUGACAAAUAUUGUGUUAAUUGCUGAUAUUUACUCAUAUUUGGUAUUUGGAAUCAAUUUCAGGAAUGAAGCAGAAAACUACCAAAAAGGAGGGACUUUGUGAAAAAUAUGGAGACUUCUAAGGGUUUCAAUCCUUGGGCCCUUGAAUUGGUGGGGACCACAAGCUAGUGAAAGGCAUUUGGUCAUUUGGGCUUCAAAGAAAGCAACGUAGAGAGACUUGGAACAAGAAGUACUUGGGAGGCUUUGUCCACAUGUGUGGGGACCACCUAGAUAGCUUUUAGUCAUCUUUCUUUUGUUGCUUUAAAAGGGGACAACGUACAGAAGCAAAAGAUAUCUAGGGCUUUAGUUUUAGUUUUUUAGUUUAGUUCUAGUUUUCUUUCUUUGGACUGGCCUCUGACACACGCCAGGUAUUCGACAAUAUUCCCCAACGGGGAGAUUUUCUCAUGAGGCGUGGUUAAGCUUUUCUAGUCAAGGGGACAACUGACGAUUUGGUUCGACAAUUACUGUGAGAUCGAAUCUGUUUUUAAUUUUCUUAUUUAUUGGUAUUUAUAUGUUCCUUGAUUUUAAUUGCUAUGGCCUUGUGUAUGAUUGAUUAGUGCGCAAUAAUUAAUUAUUCAUAUAGGCUAUUUUGCUAAAUAGGGGUAAUUGAAUCCGUAAUUGUUCGUUAUCCCUAUUGACAAGGGUUUAUUUUACGUAUUUUUAGUGUGUUUUUAUUAGUUAAUUUUGGUUUGAUUAUUUAGUUUUAUAACUAAAAUAACUAAGGUUUUGGUAAAAAUCUACAUUUUAUGUUAAAUUGGCUAAAUAUUGCAUUUGAUGGAUUUUUAUGGUAAAAAACUUCAUAUUUUGUAGGUUUAAUGAUUCAAUCAUCAAAUGAAGUGCAUUGAGAAGAUAUUUGGAUGAUUGAAGAUGGAUUAAAGUGGGGAAAAUAAAAUAUGAAGUGUAAAAGGAAGAAAUGCAAUUUGAGGACAAAAAUCAAGAAAAGUCAGCUUUGACAACUCAGAUAUAUUUUCGUAUUUUGACUAUAUCAGGAGCUACAAUGAUCGGAUCAAGGUGAUCUUGGUACCAUUUUGAAGCUAAGAGAUAUAUCUACAUUUGGUAUGAAGACAUCAAAGUCCAAUUCAGCCGUUUUCUUGGUCAAAAGGUCGAAACACAGAAACUUAUCUGGUUGGUCGAAAGCUGAAGCCCAGAAUUGACCAGUCUAUGGUAUUUUGACCAUAUCUCAGUCCACCGAUCUCCAAAUUAGAUGAUUCUUGAAGCAUUUGAACUCUAAUUCAAAGGGCUACAACUUUUGUGUUUUGCACAAAAGCCAGUUCGGCCUUCAUCAUGGAGAAAAAUGCAGUUGAAGUGAGGUCAAAAGUAAAAAACGUGUAUGGCAGCCGAAUUUCUGUAAUUUGCUCAGCCAUUUUUCUCAUCUUCACACUACUUUCCAGCUAGAGUUGGAGAGAAAACGUAGGCUGCACAUGCUUCAGAAGACAUAAGGAAGAGAUAUAGCCAAGGUUCCAAGUCAAAAGCCAUUAUUUUUGACUCCCUUAACAAAUCCAGAUUUGGAGAAUCAAAGUGGAGAGUCAUAGCAGAAAUUUAUGACUGGUAAGGGAAGGACUUUUCAUCAGCUUAUAUGUAGAGACAUUUGAGGUCUAUGAGGAGAGAGGAAUCAUACGGGAGAAGCUUGAAGAGUGCAGAAAUGUAGUUCUUCCAUUUCCUUAGUGUAGGAUAGUGUAGUAAGUGUAGUUCAUCCAUUCUUGUAUACUAUCUAGAUUAGGAUGAAAAUGGAGAUGAAGAAAGAGAAAGUUGAAGCUCAAGUGACAUGGUUAUCUCUUCUCCAACUCUUUAUCUUUUGUAUUGGAUUCUUAAAUAUAGUUAAUAUACAAGUUCUGGAAUUUAUGUUAUUUAUGUGUCUUUAAAUUUAUACUUGGGUUUGGUUGAACUUCCUAUGAUUGUUAGUGUUUAUUAUUUGGCUAUUUGAUUGCUAGUAUUUGAGCAAGUUAUUUAGCACUUUGGCUCUUGAAAUCAUGAUUAAUCUGGUACCAUUAAUUCUGAUUAUCUAAGGUGUUAUUUCUGCAUGAAAAUUGAGAUUUAACAUUAGUUCAAGAAGUGCUAAACAUAGGGAGUACACUCACGAAAGUAGAGGUGCACCUAUGUGGUUUUUAGUGAUUCAUUUCAUGUAAUUUCACUGAAGAAAUGAACUUGUAGCUAAUUUCAUAACCAUGAGAAUAGGUAUGGAUCAGUUAUAAGUAUAAUUGAUUCACUGCGAAAGUAGGAUUCAAAUGCAUAAGGAAAUUACACCAUAAUUAGCCUAGAUGUAGUAUUCAAUGAUCCAAAUAUAGCACUUGCAUGAGUAGUUAGGGAUACCACAACCUAAGGAGCUUUUAUUUGUUAUUUUUGUAUAAUUUCAGUAGGUUAAAUUUCUUAUCAUUAUUGAUAGUCUAAAUAAUAGAGAAGCUUUAGUAAUACCGGUAAUUGUUCACUCUUCCUUGUGGGAUCGACGACCCGAUAUAUACCCUAAACUACUAGUUGAUCUGUAUACUUGCAGUGAACGGGUGUAAUUCGGUUUUUUAGCUUGCACGUAUGUAAAAUACCCGUCAAGUUUUUGGCGCCGUUGCCGGGGAAGAUUUGGCAAUAUCGGUGUGAAGAGCAACUUUAUUAAUUUAGACAAUUUUUCUUAUUUUUGUUGUUUUGUUGUAUCUUGUGUGUUUUAUGUCAUUUUUUUGAGUCAAUUUUUAUUAUUAUUAUUUUUUUCUGUUUUAGUUUGUGUCUUGGAAUCUAUCCUUCUUAACUAAUCUUACUUUUGAGAUUGUUUAAAAGUAAUUUUAGAUAAUGAGGAGGGUAGGUGAAUUGGAGGACAAAGCUUGAGAAAUGAAAGAUUGGCAAUGGAUGGUUACCAAGUGCAAAGCUCCUUCAACAGAGGUAACCAAGAAAUUACUGAGGUAUGUCUUUUGAAGAUGGUUUAAGGUGCUUAAAGGCAAAAUUUGAUGUUAUGAUGGACACAAUUAUGCAUGAAAUUGAGCAAGGGAGGAAUGUUAAUGAUUUUAAUUCUUAUCAUGUGAUUUGUGACUUGUGUGGAGGUUAUCAUGCUACUAAUACAUGUAUGCAAGCACAAAAUGUGGAUUAUUAUGAUGAAUUAGAGCAUUACAAUCCUUGUUUUGAUCGAUAUAGUGCUAAUUGGAACAAUUCUCUGUUAUGGUUGGGAUAAUCAAUGUACUUAUAUAAUUCUCAUAUUUUUACGAUUACCAACCUGAAUGUGUCCAAUAUGAAUCAAAACCAUCUUGGGAGUUGGCAAUUGAAAUGGUAGCUAAUGAUUCUAAGCCAUCUUGGGAGUUAGCUUUAGAAAAAUUAGCUAAUGCAACUUCCAACCGUUUUGAUAGGUUGAAGAAAGAAUAGAUGAACUGACUUCUCACUUUAGUAGAAUACAAGAGAAAUUGAAUGCAUUGUGUGAAGUUAUUUCCUCUAAAAAUUUGCAAAAUGAUCCUAGCAUGAAUGGUAGGAAUGUUGUAUGUGAAAAUGGAUUGCAUUUGGAUGAAAAUGAUGAAUUUCAAUUGUGUUUUAAUGAGCAAAUAUCCAUUUCACAUGAUAAUAUCUUUGGAACUAACUUUGAGCCUCAAGAGGUGAGUUUUAAUGACUCAUUUUUCACCCCUCUUGAGGAGUGCAUUGAAAGUAUAGGUUCUAAGGGUAUUGCUGCCCAGAUACUCUCAUGACAUUUCCGUUGGUAAGUUCUCAAGUGGUGCAUAUUCAAGGUAAUAUUUAUGAAACACUUGGGAUAGGUAAGUCAAUUCCAUUUCUCCUAUCAUUAGAUCAUGUGACUUUUGCUAUAAAGUCACCAUUUAAUGAUCCACCACGACCAAAAAUGGUGGAUUAUUCGUUAACUAAGCCUCCUUGAAAAAUGAGGUGAAAUAGUCAAGCUAUUGACUUUAAAGAAGCGCUUAUUGGGAGGCAACCCAAUGUUUGUUUAAGUUUAUGUUAUUUUGGGGUGAUUUUAUGUUUAAAGUAUAUGUUUGAGUUAUUUUGUUAUUUUUCAUUUGUAGGUAUUGGAAAUGGAAGCAAAAGUGACCAAAUGAGGUGAAAAAGGCGAAAUUUGAUCAAGGAACUCAACCCCUCAAUUUGAGUAAUUGUUGUUUUUGAUUUGUUAGAAGGGGUUAAAAUGCAUAUUUUGAUCAUUUUACAUGUGCAUGCAUUGAGAAUUUUAGCAAACAAAUGAUCUAUGAUGCAUUUUGAGUGAUUGGGGUACAAUGGUAAUUUUUCAAAAGUUGGCUUUCUGCAAAAAUUUCGCAGAAGAAAACGCACUUGGGCUGAAAACGCGCCUUAGAAUCGCGUUUUCCAUAAUCGCGUUUUCAAUUCUGCGCCUAUACUGAAGAAAACGCGCCUUCAAAACGCGACAGGAAGUCGCGUUUUCUACAAGUCGCGUUUUACAGCCUGAUCAAAAAAACGCGCCUUCAAAUACGCGACUAAAGUCGCGUUUUUCACAGUCGCGUUUUCGAUCCUGCAAGAUAUGUGAAGAAACGCGACUUCAUAAAACGCGGCUUGUGGCGCGUUUUGAUGAGUCGCGUUUUCUGAGCACCUUUUUUAAAAAAAAAAAAUGCAGCUUCCUUGAUUCUCUUUUUCUUCUUUUCCUCAUAUAUUUUCUUGUACCUUGAGUUGCUUAUUGUGUAUUUUUAUAGGUACAUCACCAACAAAGGCUUGAAUUACGGAUCGCCGUUUUGUUUAUUAAGCCUUUGUUAUCACUUUUGUUUCUCAUUUUCAUUUUUAGGUUAUAUCACUAAUGGUUACCAAUGGAACUCAUGAAGCGAUGAGACAACGACAACAUACCUUGAAGCUUCAUAUUCAAUCACAACAAUAGGGGAGAUAUUAUUUUUUUAUCUUGAUUUUCCUUUUUACACAUUGAGGACAAUGUGUAUGUUAAGUGUGGGGGGAGAAUUGAGAUUAUAUACAUUGUAUGUGAUUGAAUUAUUAGUUGCAAAUAUUGGACUUGUGUUAAAAUUCAAAAUUUUUCUAAAAUCUUGUCCAAAAUUGCAAACUUGCCCCAAAAAGUUUCAUAUUUUUUCGAUUUUAUCCAAGGGGUAACAAGUUCCAUACCAUUAGUAGUUCAAAUUCCUUCUACAUUUGAGAUAAAUAUAUGUGAUUUGGAAACUUCUUUUCUCAUUUAACUUGGAAAUGACUAUUAUGUGAUUAUAAUUUUUGCAUUUGUAGGAAAGUAUAUCUUUUAAAGUGGAGAAAAUUAUACCUAUAUUUUUUUUGCAUAUUUGAUGAAAUUUCUUCUCUUUAUUGGAUUUUAUAAGUUAAGUGAUAAAUAUGGUCAAUAAGUGCAAUACUCUUCUCAUGAUUAUUCUUUUGAGGAAUUUAUUAUUAUCUUUGCUGUAAAAAGAAAAAAAAUGAAAAAAAAGAAGAAAAAAAAAAAAAAAUCUAUUCUACUCCAAUGAUUCUUGUACUUAGUAACCGGGAGUCUUCAUCUACAAAUGUCGACUUUCGCGUAAAACGGUACUUGAAUUAAGAGUAUGCAAAGCAACUUGAGUAUGUGAAGUGUUGAGUAACCGGUGAUCUUCAUCUAAAAAUGUCGAUUCUCGCGUCAAAAGCACUUUCACAACUUAAGUAAUAUUUAGCUACGUUAUAUGAAUAAAUAUCUUUUAAGUAGAAUAAGAAGAUGAUCAUGAGUUUAGGAAGCAUAUUUAUUGACCAUAUGAGUUACUUGCGUAUGAAAUUAAGUAAGAUGAGAAAUUGAAUUAAACUUGUUAUAAUUACGGUAUAAUUGGCUCUCCUUUACUUGAUAUUAUGAGUACUUGAACUUAAUUGAAUAAUUGCAUAAUGGUUAUUUACUUUGUUUUGAGGAAAUGAAGUUGAAAUGCUACAUAUUUAUUUUCAAAUUUUGGAUCAUUGUUGGUUUGUAUUUUUAUUGCUUGAGGACAAGCAAUGGUUCAAGUGUGGGGGUAUUUGAAGUUUAUUUUACGUAUUUUUUAGUGUGUUUUAUUAGUUAAUUUUGGUUUGAUUAUUUAGUUUUAUAACUAAAAUAACUAAGGUUUUGGUAAAAACUACAUUUUAUGUUAAAUGGCUAAACAUUGCAUUUUAUGGAUUUUUAUGGUAAAAACUUCAUAUUUUGUAGGUUUAAUGAUUCAAUCAUCAAAUGAAGUGCAUUGAGAAGAUAUUUGGAUGAUUGAAGAUGGAUUAAAGUGGGAAAAUAAAAUAUGAAGUGUAAAAGGAAGAAAUGCAAUUUGAGGACAAAAAUCAAGAAAAGUCAGCUUUGACAACUCAGACACAUUUUCGUAUUUUGACUAUAUCAGGAGCUACAAUGAUCGGAUCAAGGUGAUCUUGGUACCAUUUUGAAGCUAAGAGAUAUAUCUACAUUUGGUAUGAAGACAUCAAAGUCCAAUUCAGCCGUUUUCUUGGUCAAAAGGUCGAAACACAGAAACUUAUCUGGAUGGUCGAAAGCUGAAGCCCAGAAUUGACCAGUCUAUGGUAUUUUGACCAUAUCUCCGUCCACCGAUCUCCAAAUUAGAUGAUUCUUGAAGCAUUGGAACUCUAAUUCAAAGGGCUACAACUUUUGUGUUUUGCACAAAAGCCAGUUCGGCCUUCAUCAUGGAGAAAAAUGCAGUUGAAGUGAGGUCAAAAGUAAAAACGUGUAUGGCAGCCGAAUUUCUGUAAUUUGCUCAGCCAUUUUUCUCAUCUUCACACUACUUUCCAGCUAGAGUUGGAGAGAAAACGUAGGCUGCACAUGCUUCAGAAGACAUAAGGAAGAGAUAUAGCCAAGGUUCCAAGUCAAAAGCCAUUAUUUUUGACUCCCUUAACAAAUCAGAUUUGGAGAAUCAAAGUGGAGAGUCAUAGCAGAAAUUUUGACUGGUAAGGGAAGGACUUUUCAUCAGCUUAUAUGUAGAGACAUUUGAGGUCUAUGAGAAAAAUCAUACGGGAGAAGCUUGAAGAGUGCAGAAAUGUAGUUCUUCCAUUUCCUUAGUGUAGGAUAGUGUAGUAAGUGUAGUUCAUCCAUUCUUGUAUAUAUCUAGAUUAGGAUGAAAAUGGAGAUGAAGAAAGAGAAGUUGAAGCUCAAGUGACAUGGGUUAUCUCUUCUCCAACUCUUUAUCUUUUGUAUUGGAUUCUUAAAUAUAGUUAAUAUACAAGUUCUGGAAUUUAUGUUAUUUAUGUGUCUUUAAAGUUUAUACCUUGGGUUUGGUUGAACUUUCUAUGAUUGUUAGUGUUUAUUAUUUGGCUAUUUGAUUGCUAUGAUUUGAGCAAGUUAUUUAGCACUUUGCUCUUAAAUCAUGAUUAAUCUGGUACCAUUAAUUGUGAUUAUCUAAGGUGUUAUUUCUGCAAUGAAAAUUGAGAUUUAACAUUAGUUCAAGAAGUGCUAAACAUAGGGAGUACACUCACGAAAGUAGAGGUGCACCUAUGUGGUUUUUAGUGAUUCAUUUCAUGUAAUUUCACUGAAGAAAUGAACUUGUAGCUAAUUUCAUAACCAUGAGAAUAGGUAUGGAUUAGUUAUAAGUAUAAUUGAUUCACUACGAAAGUAGGAUUCAAAUGCAUAAGGAAAUUACACCAUAAUUAGCCUAGAUGUAGUAUUCAAUGAUCCAAAUAUAACACUUGCAUGAGUAGUUAGGGAUACCACAACCUAAGGAGCUUUUAUUUGUUAUUUUUGUAUAAUUUCAGUAGGUUAAAUUUUUAAUUCAUUGAUAGUCUAAAUAAUAGAGAAACUUUAGUAAUACCGGUAAUUGUUCACUCUUCCUGUGGGAUCGACCCGAUAUAUACCCUAAACUACUAGUUGAUCUGUAUACUUGCAGUGAACGGGUGUAAUUCGGUAUUUUUUAGCUUGCACGUAUGUAAAAUACCCGUCACCUAUCUCAGUAGCAACUGGCGUAAUUGGGUUUAUGACAGGGGAACAUACGAUCUAAUUUAAACAAACCCUCGUAGCGUGUUUGUUAGUUAGGAUUGGGCCUUUCUAAUUAUUAAUGCAAAUCUAGAAAUUAAAUCCUACGGUCGUACCUAGGGUUGUUUCCUGGUUAGAGAAAUAGUCAACGGUCGUACCUUGGCUAUCGACAAAUUAAGGAAGGGUUGGUUGUUUAUCGCGUGCAUGACAACUAUAACUAAUCUAUUAAUAAAUGUGGAAUUAUCUGUGAAUCAAUGAUCAGUGCCUGAACCAUAUCUGAAGUGUAUCCUUGGCUAGAGUUUCUCCAAUAAUUAUUCCUUUUAUUUAUUUUCUGCAUUUAAUUUAUUUAGUUAGCAUUUAAUCCAAAACCCCCACAUACCUUGGACUCUAGAAGAAACGAAUUAUCCCCAGUCCCUGUGGAUUCGACCCUACUCACCGCUAUAUACAAAAUCUGUAUUUUUCUCGAGUAGGUACUUAUUAUUGCACAGGUUCGGCACCUGUCACCUUGGUUGACAAUUUGUUUCCCUGAGCAUCCAUCAACACUUUUAUAUAGUAUUAGAUUAGAUUAGAUUGUCAAUGCACCAUCAAUAUCCUUAAAUAUAAUAGCUUAAGUAUAGUAAUCAAAAUACUGUUAGUAAUCUGUAUGAUUAUUUUUGAUCCUUUAAUGUUUUAGUUUUAGGAAGAUCACAAAUGCUGCGUAUAAAGCAUGCCAUAGGCUAAAUUAAGAUAAAUUAAGUACAUUGCUAAAAUGGAGAGCAUUGCUAAAUUAAGUACUUUAAGAUAAAGACAUAAGCAGCCAGAUCCAUUUGAUGUCAGCUGCUUCAAUAUCCACCUCAAAAUAAAUUAGCCUUUGUUCUAGAUUUAGCUUAAUGCUAAGUCCCUUCACCAUUCUUAGUAAUAAUUCAAUUCUGCCUCAAUUUUCUUCUGAUCUUCAAGGUAAAUGUACGAUAAAUUUCAAAUAUAUCCCAAAUAUAUGAAUUUCUUGAAACCAUCCUUCAAUCUCACUACCUGCUCAACAAAAUGUUCCAUAAACACAAAUAUAUUAAUGAAUUUGGAGUUGAUUCGAAGAAUUGACGAGAACAACAGGGCUCCUUAGAUAAAUAAACAUAUUUAACCUAAUUAUGAAAGUGGAUUAGGAUUUGUAUGGCAUAAUUAUAUCACUUAAAAUGUUAAAGGGUUUAAUUAAAUACCUAUGAUCUCGAGAGCAUUGUGAGAUUUCAUUAGACAUAAUUUAGAUGUAUCGAAAGAUAAUUAAAACACCCUUACGUGAUACGUCUUUGACUUCUUAAGAAAAUAAUUGGAUAAUAAUUCCAAUUCUGAAUCAAAUUUUGAAACUCUAGUCUUUUGCUAAUUGUUUUCUCACCUAUAUCUUAUUUGAUUUGAUUAUUUAUUUAAUUUCUUAAUUAGUGAUUAAAAACCCUCUAAGUUUAAAUUUUGUUAUUUUUAUUAGAGUAAUUAAUGUAGGAAAAAUUAACUCAAUCCUAUAGGUUCGACUCUGGAGUACUCCAAGUGAAUUACUAUUUCGAUCGAUCCUAUACAGUUAUAGAAAUUCAUCGAUCACACAGCAAAAAUGAAAUAAAAUUAAUGCACAAUAAUGUCAUGAGCAGAAACUGGCAGGUUGUCGAAGCCUGUACAAUAAUAAAAUUAAACCUAAUUUCCAGUUAAAAUGACCAAAACCCAAUUCUAAGUACUGGAGUAGGGACUCUAGGUGUGCAAUGGGUUACUUGAUUCACCCUGUUCCCGAAGAGUUUGCUUGAUCCGAUAUACCGGAAUGGAAUGGUUAUUUUUUUUCACAAAUAAUUAUGAAUUUAUAGACAGGGCAAGUAGGGUCGUAUCCUCAGGGAUUGGGUAUAUUUGUUUCUUAAGAAAUCCAAAGUAACACAGGGGGAUGAUUUUGUAGGAACGACGACAAUCAAAUAAAUUCAAAUAAGAAAAUAAAAAUAAAUAACUAACUAUAAAUUAAACCACAAUUCACUGAACUUAGAGUAACAAUAAUUAAAGGCCUAAAUCAAUUAAAACAAGGAAACAAUUAAAAAUAAAAUAAAGUAGGCAACUAAAAGUCAAAUGGCAAUUCACUAAAAUCAAGGUAAUAUUAAUUAAAGAUCUAGCCAAGAAAUAACUUCAGCAAUGGUUCACCUAAUUGAUCAUCGCGAAGCAAAGGCAAUUCCAAUUAUUUAUCAAUAAAUAGGUUAUAACUACCAAACAAGCGAUGGCAGUCAACCCUUCCUUACUGGGUCGGUGAUUAAGGUACGCCCGUUAAUCACUGCUCUAAUUAGGAAAUAAUCCUAGGUACGUCCGUAAGAUUUAAUUCCCCAAUUGCCUUACGUAUUAGAGGAGCCCUAUUCUAACCAAAUAACGCACUACCAGGGUUAUUUCAGAUUAGCCCGAGUAUCCCCCUGACACAAAUCUAAUCGUGCCAGUUGUCACUAAUUUAAGGCAAUUAAAUAAUUACGGAUUUAAUGCCCUAAUUGACAAUAGAUUAUCAAAUCAAUUAAUUAUCCAGAUGCAAGACAAUCAAUUAAUUAAAUAAUCAUAAGCUUAGCAAUCUAGGAAUAUGCGAAUACCAAUAAAUAAAAGGAAAAGAUUAAAUUAAAUCGAUCUCACAAAUUUUUUGUGACCCAAAGCAUCCGUUGUUUCCUGACUAAAAGGGAGGAAUUAGUUCAUGUUUGAUGAAUUAAGUCCACCGGAAGUUGAAACAAGAGCCGCGACCAUUGUCACAAAAAUUGGGAAAUGCAAUUCGCUCCAAUCAAGAAAAGAUAGCAAAGUUACAAGAGGUAGCCCUCUGUUUCAUUUCGGAUGACAUACGAAAAAGCAAAAGCAAUUGCCGAUAGUUCAGAUGAAGAAAAGUCAAGGUUUUUCCAAGUUUGCUCCUGACAUACGUAGAUGAAUCCCACUGUCACAAGCUAAGGAAGAAAAGUCAAAGCUAAAGGAAAAAGGGAAGAACCAUAGUACUAGUUCUCUGCAUUCUCUAUUCUAUCUAAUGUCUAACUCCUCUCUCCUCUGGUGCGGCGGCCAAAAGAAAAGAGGGAGCUCCCUCCGCUGUCUUCGCAGCAAUUUACCAAAAUGGCCAUGAGUUUGUUUCUUUUCCAGAAAUGCCCCCUAGGAUAAUCUCUGUUGCUUGGGCUCCUUUUCUACUAAAUUGAUACUUACUAUCAUAUUUCCGUUCUACUCACUGACAUACAUGCAAAAUAUCAAAAGUGAGCAGAAUCCAGCAAUUAAUUCACAUCAACUCAGAUAAUAAGGGAAAUUAAUAAUAAAAUAAACGAUAAAAUUGCAGCCUAUCAGAAACAGUUCCCAUCUUAGUUGUUCAACAUUCACGGUGGAUUUCAAUUAGUGGUAAAGAGAUAAAGGCAUCGAAAAAUGUAAUCUAAUUACUAGAUAAUUGAAUUUAUACUACAACAUAUUUCUUUUUUCUACCGCAAAAACAUAACUAAUUUAAGACAAUAUAGUCCAAGCUAAUUGAAGAUUAAUUUUCCCUAAAAAAUGUUCAUGAUAAAAACUCAACAAAGAGAUAAUACAAAAACUUACUUUUGGAGGUGAUGUUAUACGGUCUUUUUAACAAACUAAUUAGCCACCUAAGUCUUUUUUUUUUUUGGGACUACACAUGACAAAAUGAGGAGUGAAUCAGUCACUCAGUAUCUAAAAUUUUCCCUCCAUAUAAUUAGUUCAACCUGAUUUAAGACUAAAAUUUUUACCAUAGGAAUAUUCGUGAUUCAACAAUGAAACACCAUAGAAAUUUAAUUUGGGAGAUUGUCCUAGAAGAUAAAAAAUGAGCAACCAAUCAGAAAGUCGUACUCACAUAUCAAAAUCGAGUUAGUCUACUUAAUUCACCAGCUAUGUAUAUUUCAUCCAUUUUCACAUUAUAGAAAGAACAAUAAUGCAUGGCAUUAUCCAUCAUAAAUUGCUCAUAAAACAUCAAGAUAUUCAUGGUGUGGACCUCAAAUGACUCAUCGUGUCUACUGGCUACAUUUUAAACAUAUCUUAUGGCCAGAAUGUUCAUCUUAUCAACUUAACGAGUUUAUUCAUGGUACCAUACCAUUAAAUUAAAAAAGUUUCCACCUUUUACCUUUUAUAGAUGUCAAGGAAUAUAGCUAAUAACACACUUUUGGCAGCAAUCUUCCUUCACCCAAUUAAAGAUUUUCGGAGCUUAAAGUUCAGCUCCUAAAGCUCUUCUCCAAGUCUCACAAACCAACAGAGAAAUUACUUUUAGGAAAGUUGUUAAAUUUUGGCACACUAGGUUUUGAUGGUAUCUUGGUAAGCUUGGAAGAUUAUAUUGUGCUUCUAAGAUAAUGUUUAAAAAAGCUAUUUUAGUGACGGCAUUAUGGUCAAUUUGCCCCUGAUGAUAUUGAUAUUAGGUCCCAUCAACAUCAGAAGGGAGCUCAUUGUAUUAUUGGAUAUAACAAGGGUGGUAGUGAAAUUAUGAAAACCAUCAAGGGAGGUUUUUGAAAUUAACCCUAAAAUAUUCAUCCCACGCAAGGCGUGGUGUUCCCCCUUUGUUCCUAUAAAUAGGGCUGCAACUCCAUGCACUUAUCACUCGAUAGCAAUAAUUUAGCACAUUACUUACAUUUUGAGUGAGCUUGUGAUGAAAUGGCACCUUCAAAAAAUUUGCUCUUUGUUUUUGGUGUUCUCUUUGCACUUGUGCUCCUCAUUUCCUCUGAUGCAACAGCUGCAGGUACCUUUCUUUUUCCUUUCUUCCUUUUUUUUUUUGGCUGCACCUAAAUACUCAAAUGAAUGGAGAAUAGGAGACUCAUUAUUGGGAUGUGAAUUUUUAUGGAAGGCUAUUAGUAUAUUAUCAAGCAAGUCAUAUUAAUGUGCUAAUAUCUUUUCAUUGUUUAGCAAAAGUAAAUCUUGGUUGCUUCCAUCAAUGGUUAGUGGCACAUCUGAUUUUUCAUGCAUCCUUAUAGUAUUGCUGUAAGGAUACACGUUCCAUAGUGUCACACUAAAGGUUAAACUAACGUUGAAAACCAAAUUAAACUGCUUCUAAUUAUAAUUUAUUGAAUAGACUAUUAAAGCAAAAUAAUCCAUGUCCAAGUCGCACCAUCUUAUAUGCCUGGACUGUUUUGUUUAAUCCAUUGUAUUCUUUUCUUUGCAUAUAUCUUGCAAAUUUUCAGCCUAGCCGGUCACCUAACGUUCGCAGCUUAAGAUAAAGCUCCAAAUAUUAAUGUCUCCUUCUGUCUUGAAACAGAUCAGAAGAGCGUGAAAACCACUGGUGUCCACGAUGCCAGUUCAGGUCAGGUUCAUCAGGAUAGCAUAAGCGAAGAUCGUUGCAAAUAUCGUUGCUGCCGCUGGUACCAUGGACAGUGCCAAAAAUGCUGUCGAACUGCUGAGGAGACCCCUGAAGCUACAUCCGGAGAUGAGGAUACCGUAACCGCAGAUCGUUGCAGACAUGGUUGCUGCCGCUGGUACCAUGGAAAUUGCCAAAGAUGUUGUCCACCUGCUGAGGAGACCACUGAAGCUACAUCCGAAAAUGAGGAUACCGUAACUGCAGAUGGUUGCAGACAUGGUUGCUGCCGCUGGUACCAUGGACGCUGCCAGAGAUGCUGUCCAACUGCUGAGGAGACCCCUGAAGCUACAUCCGGAGAUGAGGUCAAAAAUUAAUGCUAAAUAAAUAAGGGUGUGACACAGGAUCCGUGACACCUAUAUUAUUACCUUAAUAUGUUGUGUUUGCCUUUGAUGGUUGAUUUCCUGUAUGUGUAAAAGACUUGUGCCACUUCUCUUUGAAUUGGUGUAGAAUCAACAGGGGAAGCACGUAAUGAGUACUCAGUUCGAGUGCUCUUCUUAUGUUGUUG
rnacentral:lncRNA from 1 species